UUUGCUGAAAAUAAUACAUUUUAUGUUCUGGUUUGCGAUUCUAAUGUGAGACCAAAGAUAGUCGGCAAUCAAUAUGGAGAAGGCCCAUCCUUUGUGCUUGUCUAUAUCUCAUCUCGUUGAAGAUGUUGAAGCAUGCCUAAAUUUUGGUGGAAUAACAAAAAGUCAGCGUAAAUCAAGUUAAGGAUUCUGAUGGUGUGCAAACAUCAAAGGAACAUCAUUCUAAUAGGAGAAGCAAUAGUGAUCUGCAUCUGGCUUUUAAUGGUGAAGAUAAGACAAAAUCUGCAUCAAUCUGACAGGCCUUUGACAAGGAUGGUGAUGUCGCUUUAAUGGGACUCACCUACAACACAAGGAAAGCCCACAUUAGAUCAUUUGGUGCCCCAUAUGGCAAAGAAGACAACACAGUCAUAUCAAUUGAUGAUUCCUAUGAUAAAGAAGACAUAAAAAUAAUUUCUUUUGAUGGUUUCCCAGAUGAAAAAGGAUGUUAACCCUGUGGGGAGGCCUGACAUAGACUUCAUUCAAUUUUUAUAAUCAAUCUUCAGUUCAUGUGUCAAUACCUUAUGAGAAAGAGAUAGAUGCUUCUAAUGUUGACUAAAUAAAGUUUAAAACCGUGUCCAAGAAUAAGCAAAAGUUCAAAACAACAUGCUUCAACUCAAUUAGUUAUAAGGUGUCGACCUCUUAUACACCACCCUGCACUGGUAAUGGAAUAGUAUCCAGUUUUUUACAUGAGAAAUAAGGUAUUCAUCGCAAAACAGAAACGAUAAAUAGUGGUACCUGAGCAAUAUGCUUAACAGAGAUCAGUUUAAUCAUUACAAAUGAUGCAUACCAUCCUUGCUUUAGACCAGAAUAUUUCCAAGAGCCCUUCGGCAUCAUCAUCAAUAUAAAAGAGGGUAUCCAUGGGCAGCCCAACAUCAGAACAAAAAGGGAAAUCAAUCAGGGAGUUAGGCCAAACACUAGAUAGAGGACAUUAAGCUAAUAAAAGGCUGUAAAGAGAUGGCAUCAGGAAUGGCCUAUGCUGUUACAUAUUUCAAAUAGAAUCAUUAAGCCAAUCCAGCCAUGGACUAUCAGUUAAUAAAAUCUCAUAGGACAGCACUAAGCAGAAGUAAUUCGAAAUUAUUAUCCUCCAGUUACACUUUGAGGCAUUAAUGCAAUGAUAUUAGAGGAAAAUAAAAUGCUAUCGACAGUAAGGGCAUCAAUCAACAAAAUUUCAAAAGGGCUGCACUAAACAGUUACAUUCUGAAGUAAUAACAGAGCAAUAAAGUAUGAAAUUCAAAUCAGUCGGGGGUUACAAAUCAGUGUAGAAAAACAGUAAGGUACUAAGGCAAAGGGAAAUACAAUCAGCCGUGAAUAAUAUCCAGAGAGCAGUUUAGAGCAUUAAUAUUUUAAUUACGGUCAUCAUUAGCAAAUUAUAAAUAGCUCGACAGUUAUCACAUAGUCCUAAUCAGCAUUCAUGGGCAGUUAAAGUAUUGAAAUCAGAAAGCAAAAUUCAUGGGAUUUCAAAAGGGGCAGUUUCAGUCAGUAACUCAAAAAAAGCAAAAAAAGCAAAAGAGAAAGAAUACAAAAAAGAAAGAAAAGCAUUGCAACAGUGAUAAAAAGAGAACAAAUCAGAAAAAUUAGAGAGGAUAACAAGUGAAAAACAUGGAGCAUUCUAGAGAGAAAGGCAGAAAUAUAAACAGAGAGACUGACAUUCAAGCAAAGUCAACUUGUUAUCCGAUGCAAACCGUAGUACGAGUAGUAACCAGAACCGGGAACCACCGUGAAGGUUCGGGUCCCGCCGAUGAAAACCGCACUCGAUCCUUUCCUCGCCCUUAAUAAGCCUCUACGAGGACAGGAAGUUAUAAAAAUGAUAAAAAAUGUAUAAUAAUAGAACAAAGAAGCAAAUGGAGAAGUAAGAGGAGACGAGUGAUGAAAACCAAAGAGAUUAGGAAGGAAUGAGGACCUUUUUUCGGCCGUGAAUGAGAACCGAACCACCGUAAGCCCCGAUGAUUCUUAAUCACCGCUAUCGCAACGCUUCAAGCCGAGUCAUCACCGAAGAAGAGAAAAGAGGGAGAUUUCGUUCGAUGCAUCUUGAAGAGAAAGGGAUUCUCUUCGUCGAUCCCCUCCAACACGGGCUGGAAGGCUUCCUCCAGCUAAAUCCGUGAGCCAUCGUGCUCCUCCGCGCCGAUGAAGGUGGAGCGAUGCAAGAAGGAGGAGUUGGCAAUUAGGGAUUUUAUUCCCAUUUCCCUUUCUGCUGGAUUCCAUGGGUUUGGGGGUGAAAGGGGUUCACCCCUUUUAAUUAUUCCCAUCUCAUUUAACUCCUUUUCUUUAUUUACUCUUUGGUUGAUUUUUUUUUAUUUUUCAUUAUUCCAUCUAUGCAAUUUAAAAUGAAAUGAACAUUAAUUUAUAUGCUGCAUAUCUCAUAACUUUUAUAAUGAUUGCGUAUUCCAACUUUAAGCAACAAGCUAUUUUAUCACUAAAUUCAACCAUCAAUUCCAUAUAAACUAUUUUAUUUAAUAAGACUAUUUUGCUACUAAACUCUAUAUGUAUAAAUAAUAAGAUACACCAACACCGUCUCUAAACUAUUAAUUCUAUAUGUAUAAUUAAUAAUCACCUAAAUUCUAUAUGUACGAAUAAUUAGAAACUAUAUUAUCAAAUUAAUCAUAGAAUUUUUAUAGUAAGGUUAUGGCUCGAGUUGUCUCUAACUUCUCUAAGAAUGAGAAGAAGGUCUACAACCAACACCGUCUCUAAACUAUUAAUUCUAUAUGUAUAAUUAAUAAGCUAUUUUAUUACUAAAAUCAUAUAUCUAUAAAUAAUUAGAAACUAUUAUACUAAAUAAAUUUUAUGGGUUUUUUAGUAAGGUUACGGCUAUUAAUCAUGUAUAUAGAAAAUAAUUCUCCGGCCUAUUUUGCUACCUAAUUCUAAAAAUAACCCAAUAUUAUUUUAGCGAAUAAAUUGGGAUUUUUAUAGUGAGGUUACGGUUCGAGUCGUCUCUAACUCCCUGGAAAUAAGGAGAAGGUCUACGACCAACACCGUUCCUGAACUAUUAGUCUCAUUGAACCAAAAAAAUUAUAUAUUAACAAACUCAAUAAGCUAAUACCUCUAAAACCUAUCGGUAUUUUCCAAAUCAUUAACAAUCAACCAAAGUAGAAGCAAUUAUUUGAAAUAGAACUACGUAAGCCUUGAUCCCCUUAAUAGGGGUACGUAGGACCAAAGUCAAUAUUGUCAGGCUCAAUAAUAAAGAUAAAUAAUUCUAAAUAAAUAAUUGUUAAGGGUAUAAAAGUCUAUGUUAUUAGCGAAUACGGGCGGACGGGGUGCUAAUACCUUCCCCGAUCUGUAAUCGACUCCCGAAUUCAGAAUCUCUAUCUAAAGACCAUUUUAUCCUAAUUGGGCUUACUAUAGAGUUUUCUACGUUUUAACCGCAAAAAACGUAGUGGCGACUCCAAAUCAAUUGGGAGAGGUAGAAAUCGGGUUCACUUCUCUCCAAGUCGUAGAGCCGGUCUUCCAACCGAAAAGCGGGUCGCGACAGUUGGCGACUCCACUGGGGACAUCCUAUAAGAGAGUCAGGCCUUGAACCGCUAAUAACAAGAACUCAAGUACCCUUUUAUUUUUUGUUUGAGUCUUGUUUUUCUUAGGAAUGAAUUAUUAUCUUGAAUUACCUUUGUUGUAUGAUAUGCGAGUUCACGUGUUUGUUUUGCAGCUUAUUGGGGGGUGGGGAACUUCCUACAAAAGGUUUGUAUGCUUCCUCACACACUCACGAGAGUCAACAUGUACCUAUACCCUGAGCCCGGGUAUUAGUGAUUAAGAUCUAAGAUAGAAGGGACAUCUGCUUUGCCGGUAAGUGACCUCGAGUCGCAUCUGGUAUUGGUGGAAUGAACCACCCAGAUCGUUUCUGGUAUUAUGAGUUAAAGGCUUGGAGGGCUCGAUCCUUCUCAUUUUUAACCUAUGAUACCUGGUCUCCUUAAUUUCGGGAUUGGGUGCGAUCUGGUGACCUAGAAGUCUAGAGCUUUACCAAGUCCACUCUAAACAAAAUCUAGUAUCCUCACCUUAGGACGUAACCUAUAAACAUUCCAAGAAUCCCUUGUAAGACGUACCUUAUUUAGGACACAGGAAGCAAACAAUUUCUACUCUUUAUUAUUUACAAUCAUAAAAGUGGGGCGUAGGCCGUAAAUGGCCAGUUCCUUCAACAUCCCCACCAGAGGGCCCAAUGCCCUACGGGAUGCAUUUCAUACACACCCGUUGAUGGGUGCAAACACCCUAAAGACGUAAUUUAUGUUAUAUCAGACUAAUCGAGGUUAUUUCAUUUAAUCCCAUGCUGCAAUUAGUCCCAUUAAUGCGCUCGAGGCCCUAGGGACAAGUUUAUAUCACCAUGUUAUGAAAACAUAAUAUAAUAAAAUCAAGAUUUUACUGCCCCCAUAUAAGGACCAGCAUCCUAGGGGGUAUACAUCAUGCACAUCAUUCAUUCAUGCAUUCAUCCAUGCAUUCUUUAUCUCAUUUAUUUAACACCUUUACGAUUGUCACGCCUUUUGCAGAUUACUUUGUCGAAGAGAAACUGGUAUAGUAAGACAUGGAGACUGAUUCUCAAGUUGUGGGUUCUGUCAGCACUCUAUCAGUGAAAAAAGGAGUGAGGGUAGAAUUACAAGUUAUGGAUGUAAGCUUCCUAGCAGAUCUUGUCCCCAAGAUCCCUCAAGAGGUUCAAGACCAGCUGGCAAGAGAAUAUGGAAGGUUGUCUGACUUGGUCCUCAUCACGGUUGAUAUAGAAACAUUAAAGGGCAUGAAAGACAUGAUCCAGUACUGGAACACUGCUCUACACAUCUUCGAAUUCCCAAAUAUUGAUGCAUCCCCGACUGUGGAGGAGUAUGAGGUCCUACUCGAUAUCGGCUCUUCCAUCACAGAUAUCGAGCUAUCAAACAGGCUAAAGCUGUAUCAGUAUAACGGUACUCAGAAUGUUACAGAAGAGUAUAUCGAGGGGCUGAUCGGGAUGCAUCCCUUGUUCUGGGCAGAGUUACGGCUUUCUGUUUUUGCUUCGAAUGAUAUGGGGCCUAGGUUGCCCAAUAUUUGGGGUCUUUGCAAUGAAAAAACAUCUUGCCGAAAUGGUGGAACAAGGAAAUUGGGAGCUAUUCAAACCCGCUUUUGCUCUAGCAGUAUAUGGUAUGGUCCUAUUCCCUUUCGUUUAUGAUAUGGUAGACCAAGCGACGAUCGAUGUCUUCGCCAAAGUCAAGAGGUUCAGAGUUAACCCCGUUCCAGCAAUAGUCGCAUAAAUUCUCUUAUCUUUCCAAAGGUGUCAUGAAAAAGGCUACCACAAGGUCCGUUGUUGUGUACAUUUACUCUAUGUGUGGAUGAUUACUCGGUUUGCGCAUCACCAAUAUCCAGAUUGGAGCAGGUACCCCCUGCGCCGGUUCAGAAAUAUUGCAAUUAAACCUAUGCAACUGGCGGAUUGGAAGAAACUGUUCAAAGAGGUAACCCCUAGGAAUUUUGGAACAAAGUGUUGCUUAUAUGACAAACAUCAGGCAGUGAUGUACUCAUGUGGAGACUUUCCGAACAUGAUGUUGAUGGGCCCCCGAGGAUGCAUCUCUUUCACCCCAGCCUCAGUACUGGGACAACUGAAAUGGGGGAUGAAUCCGGUACCUCAAGAAAAGUUGCAGGGGAUCACAGUCUGGUAUAGGGACGAGGGAACUACCCGAGAAGUUCUCACAUCUGUUGGGAACGCUCUGAGGAGUAUCCGUCUCUGUGGGAAGAAUGAGCUUGGAGAACACCAAGCCUAUUACACUGAAGAGUACAAAUGCUGGAGGAAUGAAAGGACGAAAUAUGUUAUGUUGCCACCAUCUGAGUCAUCAAAAGAACCGAUCGGGCCAUCCCAUAACGAACUACUACUCGUUAGUCAGAACAAACUUCUGGAAUCAGAGUUGGAAGAGGCCCGAGAUGAAGUAGAGAAAUAAAAAUUGAUGGUGGAGAAGCUUAACAAACCAUCGCUGCACAGAAGAAGGAGGAAGUCAGCUUGAAGCGAGACUAUGCCAGCAUGUGCUCUUCAUCCGACAAAUUCCGCCUGAUCCGAGCUGGCAAAGAAAAAGACAAAAAAAUAACAGAAUUGAUCAGGUCAGAGAAAGAAAAAGAUGAACAGAUAGCCGACAUGGUUGAUCAACUGAAGGCUCGAGGGCGAGCCCUACAUACUACUUAAAGGGAUGUUCACAUGCUGAAAGCAAAAAUAGAGAAUAUGCAUGCCAACCGAAGAGAUGGGAGCCAAACGGGGGCUAUCUUAAAAGAGUAUCAGGAAGCCUUGAUGCGAGCCAGGGAAAGAGAGGAUCAACUGAAUGUUGCGUUGGAUGCUCGUUUCCAAGCAUUGGCUGAAGCAAAUCACGAUAAAACCCAUCUUUCUGAACGAAUGAAGGACCUUGAGGAAGCCUACAAUGAGUUAAAUGCCAAACAUCAUGAGUGGUCACACAACUGGGAGAAUAUGCUCCAGGAGUGUAAAUGGGACAAGGAGAAAUGGGAAGGAAGAUGCAGGCAAAUCAUCGAGGGUCUUGGGGACUUUGCUGAUGAUUGGUUGAGAAACUUUGAUGAUGCCCGCCAGGAGGUGGAAAUGUACCCUGAUACNNNNNNNNNNNNNNNNNNNNNNNNNNNNNNNNNNNNNNNNNNNNNNNNNNNNNNNNNNNNNNNNNNNNNNNNNNNNNNNNNNNNNNNNNNNNNNNNNNNNUGCUGCAUCUGGAGAAUAUUGAGCAUUUUAUGUUUUUCUUCUCCUUUGUUAAAAAUAAAAAGAAAGAGAGAAUCAUAAAGGAAAAUUGUAGUCCUACUAUGAAUAUGAAUAAAAAAUUUCUCCUUUUCUCAGAGUUUAUCCAAGUUGUUAUCUAUACAAGUAUCAUAAGGGCUCAUCAUCUUAUCUAAUAUGCAAGUAAAAAAUUCGUGACAGAGUAAAAACAUCUUGUAAUUAGACACAAUCUUGGUCUGAAGCCUAGAGUUUCUUCUAACGAUUGGUAUCAAAUGUAAACGGUCUUGCGGACUACGCUCCCAAGAUUACCAAAUACAUGACAAGAUGUUUAAUGAUAGUGAUCCACAAUGAGAGAAUAAGCCUAGAUGUAAGCAAGGUCCGAAGCCUAGAGCUUCCUCUGAGUAUUGUUAUCAACACAAGAGAAACUAUUGGGGUGCGCCUCGUAGUCAGCAAAUGCCGGUCAAGAUGUCUUACUAUACCAAGCCUCUCGAAGACAAAGAAAUCAUUUUGCUUUCAUUUUUAUCAUUUAUUUUUCAAAUUUUUAUUUUUCAAAAAUUUAUUUUUCAAAUUUUUAUUUUUCCAAUAACUCAGGUUCUGUAAUCAUUGCACACCAACAUCCUUACAAUACCCGAUCAAAAACAAAGACCAUGGCCGACCAGGAAGCUACUACUGGAGGGAAUCCCGAGGUGAUUGAGCUGAAAGAGCAAAUAGCACUGAUGAUGAGAAUGAUGGUAGCCAUGCAGCAAGAAAUGGCAUCUGGGAAUUCUUCUGUAGCAGAUAAGCGGGCCCAAUCCGCACGUAAUGCCAAUGAAGGGGGGCACAACCAACAGUCUGCCUCUAAGCAUUAGGGUGCAUCACAAGGACAUACCUCGUCAAACAAAGAGAACUCACAACACACCAACCAACAUGACUCGGAUGACGAUCCUAACUACCACGCUCCCAAGAAUGAUAAAAGCACUGCAGGACAUCAAGCUAGUAAAGACACAAACGCGAUGAUAAAGGGAAGGGGAAGGAGGAUGAAAUGUGGGACGUCAUUAAUGAAAGGCUUAAAGCUGUGGAAGGGGCUAACUGUCCCGAUUUAAAGAACGCUUUUGAAAUGUGUCUGGUCCCAGAUGUCGUUCUUCCUCCUAAGUUCAAGGUUCUCGAAUUCGAAAAGUAUGACGGGACUACAUGCCCGAAAAGCCAUCUUCAUAUGUACGCCCGGAAAAUGUCAGCGUACCAUAAUGAUGAUAAGCUGCUGAUUCAUUGCUUUCAAGAUAGCCUUGUGGGGAUCGCCACUUUGUGGUACAUCCGCCUCGAAAGCAAGCACAUUAAGACCUUCCUGGAUCUUUCCAAUGCCUUCAUAAGGCAGUACAAAUUCAAUGAGGACUCUGCGCCGGACCGCAACAAGCUUCAAAGCAUGUCGAAACCGGCAAGUGAAUCAUUCAGGGAAUAUGCACAGAGAUGGAGAGGAGUGGCCUCACAAGUCUUACCCCGUCUGGAGGAAGAAGAGCAGAUCACUAUCUUCAUCAAUACUCUCCCUAACCCUUUCUUCGACAAGAUGAUUGGGAAUAAUACAUGUGAUUUCAAUUCAUUGAUUAGAGUAGGAGACAGAAUUGAGCAAAACAUGAAAACUGGAAAGAUUGCCGCCGAACAAACCGGAGAGCCCAAAAGGCCCAACUACAUGAAAAAAAGAAACUGAAGCCCACUACAUAGCCGGAGAACCCCAAAAGAUGUCAAACAAGAUAAACAACAAUCCCUGUUCAUAUACACACCGCCCUCAACACAACCAAACACCAUACCAACCGAGCUCGCAAAACACAUACCAGAUCCCAUACCAACCAAUAGCCUACAUUAACCACAACCGCCCACCACUUCAACAAAACACAACCUUUCAAUACAACCAACCACAACCAAACCUCUAUCAACCCCGACCACCUAGGCCCAACUAUCAACCAAAUAACCAAGCCCAAAACCAUCAUCCACCCGCGCAAUACCAAACUCAGGAAAGAAGGACUUUCGACCCUAUCCCUAUGACCUAUGCCGAACUAUUCGCCACCUUACAAACAGAGCGCAUCCUAGCACCCAUUCUAGGAAGAGUCCCAAAUACUAUGGCCGCAUGGUACAACCCCAAUGUCAAUUGUGCUUACCAUUCGGGAGUAGUGGGGCAUUCAAUCGAAACUUGUAAGGCAUUAAAACACAGAGUGCAGGAUCUUAUCGAUUCCGGAUGAUUGAAAUUCAAAGACGAUGUUCCCACCAUCACAAACAACCCUUUGCCCAAUCAUGGGAACCAGGGGGUGAAUGUCUUAGAGUGGGAUGAGGCAGACACUAUUAUUGACAGGGUGGAAGACAUAAAGACACCCCUAAAGAUCAUAUUUUUGGAGAUGUGCAAAAGAGGUCUGGUGAAGUGUACGCAAGAUGGUCAACAUGAAGGUGACGUUUGCAUGCUACAUGGGACUACAUACCAUAACAUAGAAGAAUGUUCCAAGUUCAGGUCAUUGAUACAAGAAUUAUUGGACUCCCAGUUGUUGAGGAUCGGGAGGCGAAAUGAAUGUUCUGACAUAUGUGUCAUUGAAAAAGACGAGGAAAGUCCGAGUCCGGUCAUUAUAAGGUAGUUUGUACCAGUAUUCAACAUACCUACUAGCACACCAUCAUAUGCAGCUCCGCCCCGAUGGGCGCCUCAUUUGAGAAAUAUGGGACAUGAGAUAGCAAGACAACCGAGCCCAUUCCCAUAUCAAUCAGACAGAGCCGUCCCUUGGAAGUAUCGAGAGGAAGCCGGAAAAAUGCCAGUUCCAACAAAUGAAGUUGUCCACUUGGCCGGGGUGGGAAAUAUGACAAGGAGCGGAAGGGUUUAUAGCCCCGUUGAGAUAGCCAGUAAAGUCAUCAAUGCGUCUAAAGGCAAAGAAAAAGUUGAUAAGCCAGUAGAUACCAGUUCUGGAGCGGCCCGGGUUGAGAUCCCUCCAUUUGAUGUUGAAAGAGAAGUCACAGAUGAUGAAGCUUGUGAGUUCUUAUGAUUCAUCGGGCAAAGCGAGUAUCAAAUAGUUGACCAGUUGAGUCGCACUCCAGCCAAGGUAUCAUUGUUGUCUUUACUGAUGAAUUCAGAAGCUCACAGAAAGGUCCUACUGAAAGUGCUGAACCAGGCCCAUGUCGACCAUGAUAUAAGUACUAGCAAAUUAGAUGGUAUCGUCAAUAAUAUCAUGGUCGAUAACUUUAUCUCCUUCAGCAAUGAGGAAAUACCGAGUGAAGGAACAGGGCACACCCGUCCUCUCCACAUCUCCAUCAUGUACACAGAUUUUGUAAUAGGAAGGGUGUUGAUAGACAAUGGUGCAUCGCUCAAUGUGAUAACCAAGAGAACAUCGUCUAAAUUACGAGUGGACGAGUCAGCCAUAAAACCAAGUUCAACAGUUGUUCGAGCCUUCGAUGGAGCCCGAAGGGAUGUGCUGGGAGAAAUCGAGCUACCUGUGAAGAUUGGGCCGUGUACUUUCCAGAUCCUAUUUCAGUUCAUGGAUAUCAAUCCGUCGUUCAGCUGUCUAUUGGGAAGGCCAUGGAUCCAUUUCAUCGACGCUAUACCUUCCUCAUUGCAUCAAAAGGUGAAGUUUAUCGCGGGGGGCAAGUUGAUAACCAUCAUGGGUGAAGAAGACAUUCUGGUGUCUCAGCUUAGUGAUACCCCAUACAUAGAAGCUGACACUGAAGCUUUAGAGUCUUCUUUCCGGGCGUUAGAGAUUGCAAGUGCUUCUUCCAAUAGGAGAGGACAUCCUAAACUCAAUCUGCCACCCUCUAAUGUCUCCAUUAACAUGGCGAGGGUCAUGCUAAAGAAAGGAUUCCAGCCAGGAAAAGGUUUAGGGAGAUAUGGUCAGGGAAUUGAAAACACCACAACCCUCCCAAUUAAUAAUGGUCGAUAUGGAUUGGGCUAUAAACCCAGCAAAGCUGAUGAGGACCGACUGGCAGAGGAAAAGAAGAGGAGUACUACUCGUGCGGGGCGUUACAGAAAUGAUAGCAGAAGGAUUCCCAUCCCCCACAUCAGUCAGAGUUUUGUGAGUGCAGGCUUCCCAGAACAGAAACUGAUUGCAAUGAUGAGUGAAGACCAGCCAGAUGAUGAUUUCAGUCAGGUGUACUAGUGCCCUCCAGGCAUGAUCUUGGACAAUUGGACCAUAAAGGAUGUUGCUAGCUGUAUUUAUGGGCCAAUGUAAUUAAAAAUGUUUUAACAUUUAUAAACUUUUUUGGUCACCAUUUGCCUAGCCCUGGGCAUUUGGAUCUCGUGUUAAUAAGGGCAUGUUUUUACUUUCAUCAGUGUGAUUUCUAAUAAAACAAACCAUCGCAUUUCAUUCCAUUUCUUGAACAAUUUUAUAUUGCACUUUCUGCCUAAACAAAUCAAUAAAUUAACCUGAUAUAAACCAAUAAACCAUAAUGCAGAUCUGACAUCGAAUCUAUAUCUAAUGCCAUCAUUAACAAUCACUUGCCAAAUUUUGAUCACCCGAUAAAUCAAGCAGAGGGAUGUGACAGUGACGAAGGCUGCGAAGCGUCACCGGAAUUGCGGAGAUUAGUCAAACAAGAAGGCCAAGAAAUUCAGCCUCAUGGGGAACCCGUCGAGUUGGUGAAUCUAGGUUCAGAGGAAGAAAAGAAGGAGGUUCGGAUAGGCACAAUCAUGGAUAGCACUGAGCAAGAAAAACUCAUUGCGCUUCUACAUGAAUACAAGGAUGUAUUCGCUUGGUCAUAUGAGGAGAUGCCAGGUCUAGAUCGGAAUUUAGUGGAACACAAACUACCGCUACAAGAAGACUCUAAACCGGUAAAACAAAAACUACGAAGGAUGAGGCCAGACAUAUCCUUAAGAGUCAAAGAGGAAGUGGAAAAAUGGUUGGAAGCCAAAUUCGUGACAGUCUCUACAUACCCCAAAUGGGUGGCCAACAUAGUUGCAGUGCCAAAGAAAGGAGGGAAACUCCGGAUAUGUGUUGACUAUAGAGACCUUAAUCGGGCAAGUCCAAAGGAUGACUUCCCUGUGCCACACCUCGAUGUUCUAGUCGAUAGUACAGCCGAUCAUGCUUUAUUCUCAUUCAUGGACGGAUACUCCGGGUACCACCAGAUUAAGAUGGCUCCGGAAGAUAUAGAUAAAACAACCUUCAUUACCCCAUGGGGUACCUUCCGCUAUCUCGUGAUGCCAUUCGGGUUAAAAAAUGCUAUGGCCACCUAUCAAAGGGCCAUGAUUGCCAUUUUUCAUGAUAUGAUGCACAAGGAGAUCGAGGUCUAUGUCGACGAUAUCAUUUGCAAAUCCAAAUCGGAAGAGGAGCAUGUCCCCAAUCUGCGAAAGCUCUUUGAGAGGUUACGAAAGUAUCAGCUCAAAUUGAACCCAGCUAAAUGCAGCUUCGGAGUGAAAUCUGGCAAAGUCUUGGGCUUCAUUGUUAGUCAGAAAGGCAUAGAGGUUGAUCCUGAAAAAAUCAGAGCCAUCGCCGAGAUGCUAGCCCCUAAGACAGAGAAAGAAGUUAGAGGAUUCUUGGGUCGUCUGAACUACAUCUCCCGGUUUAUCUCUCAACUAACUGCAAUUUGUGAACCCAUAUUCAAGUUAUUAAGGAAGAAUCAAGCGGUGACAUGGAAUGAAGACUGCCAAACAACUUUCGAAAAAAUCAAGCAAUACUUGGACAGAACCUCCGAUAUUGAUGCCUCCAGUCCCAGGUCGACCCCUAAUCCUGUAUCUAACAGUGCUGGAUGAGUCCAUGGGUUGUAUUCUAGGACAACAUGAUUACUUAGGGAAGAAAGAGCAGAUCAUUUAUUACCUGAGCAAGAAAUUCACUGAUUGUGAGAAGAGGUAUUCUCUGCUGGAACGCACUUGUUGUGCCUUGGCAAGGGAUCGUAAUACAUGUUGAGCCACACUACUUGGUUGGUAUCUAAAAUGGAUCCAAUUAAAUACAUAUUUGAGAAGCCUAUUAUGACGGGGAGAAUUGCCAGAUGGCAGGUGCUUCUAUCCGAGUAUGAUAUCGUGUAUGUCACCCAGAAGGCAAUAAAAGGAAGUGUCCUCGCCGAUUACCUUGCCAGCCAACCGGUAGACAAAGGGGAUUUGAUUAAUGAGGAAUUCCCUGAUGAAGGGAUUAUGAUGAUAUCUCUAGGCAUGGAAACAGAAGGAGAUAGAUGGACUCUUGUGUUUGACGGGGCUUCCAAUAUACUCGGACACGGAAUAGGGGCAGUAUUGAUCUCCCCGGAGAAUAAAUUCAUCCCGAUUACUGCUCGACUAUGCUUUGACUGCACCAACAACAUCACGGAGUAUGAGGCAUGUGUCUUGGGUUUGGAGGCGGCCUUGGAGUCAAGAAUUAAAUCCAUAGAAGUAUUCGGAGACUCUGCUCUAGUGAUUCAUCAAGUAAAAGGGGAAUGGGAGACCAGAGAUUCUAAGUUGAUACCAUAUAGAGAUCAUAUCCAAAAGUUGAUCGAUCGAUUCGAGGAAAUAGACUUUUACCAUAUCCCAAGGGAAGAUAAUCGGUUGGCUGAUGCUUUGGCAACUUUGUCCUCCAUGUUCCAGAUAGGUGAAAAGGAAAUGCUAGUUAUCAGAAUAGCAAGCAAAGAUCAGCCUGCAUACUGCUAUGAGUAAAGAGUAUCAUGACAUAAUGACAUACCUCAAGAGCAAAGAGUAUCCUUCCGAGGCCACGGAAAAUGAUAAAAGGACUCUACGAAGGUUAGUUAUGGGCUUCUUUCUAAACGAAAACGUGUUGUACAAAAGAAACCAUGACAUGAUGCUACUGAGGUGUGUGGAAGCCAAGGAAGCAGAGAAGAUCAUCCAGGAAAUACAUGAAGGAAUGUUUGGGACCCAUACGAAUGGGCACUCAAUGGCUCGGAAAAUCCUGAGAACAGGCUAUUUCUGGUUAACAAUGGAAAGUGAUUGUUGCGAUCAUGUACGAAAAAGUCACAAAUGCCAGAUUUAUGCUGAUAAUAUUAAUGCAUCUCCCAGCCUGCUAAAUGUUAUGUCUUCCCCAUGGUCGUUUUCUAUGUGGGGUAUGGACGUUAUCAGUCCGAUCGAACCAAAGGCUUCCAACGGUCACCGCUUCAUCUUGGUUGCAAUCGACUAUUUCACCAAGUGGGUCGAGGCGAACUCAUACGCAAGCGUAACUCGUAACGUGGUACUCAAGUUUAUAAAAAAGGAGUUGAUUUGCCGCUAUGGUUUGCCUCAGAAAAUUAUCACAGAUAAUGCUACCAAUCUCAACAACAAGAUGAUGACGGAGAUGUGUGAGGAAUUCAAAAUCAAACAUCACACUUCUUCGCCUUACAGACCUAAGAUGAACGGGGCAGUGGAGGCAGCAAAUAAAAAUAUAAAGAAGAUAGUCCAGAAAAUGAUGGUGACCUACAGAGAUUGGCAUGAUAUAUUACCAUAUGCACUUCAUGGUUAUCGGACUUCUGUCCGCACAUCAACUGGGGCAACACCCUACUCGCUGGUUUAUGGGGUGGAAGCAGUGCUGCCGAUAGAAGUCGAAAUCCCGUCACUAGGAGUGCUCGCUGAAGCUGAAUUAGAAGAGGCAGAAUGGGUCCAAGCUCGACAUGGUCAGUUGAAUCUUAUUGAAGGGAAGAGGUUGGCAGCCAUAUGUCAUGGUCAAUUAUACCAGAGGAGGAUCAUGAGGGCACAUGCUAAGAAGGUACGCCCUCGAGCAUUCCGGGAAGGUGACUAGUACUGAAGAAGAUUUUACCUAUUCAGAAGGAUCACCGGGGAAAAUGGACACCCAAUUACGAAGGCCCGUAAGUGGUAAUGAAAGCGUUCUCAGGGGGAGCUCUCAUUCUGACCAACAUGGACGGAGAAGACCUUCGUCUCUCCGUAAACUCUGAUGCAGUGAAGAAGUACUAUGCUUGAGGCGACUUCCUAAAAAAAAAGAUGAAAAAAAAGAAAAAAACAAAAAAGAAGGAGAAAAAGAAACUCAAUUUCUUAGGAAUAUUAAUGUAAUGAACACGAUCGUUAUUUAUAAAAUUGCAUACAUGUUUUAAGCGAAAAUGGAGAAUGAUGUAGACAAAUUCCCUAAAGGUGUGAAUUCUCGAAUAAAUGUUUCCGAUGACACAAGGCUUCUUUGUAACUCCUAAACACUUAUGAAGAUAUCCCUAGUCACCCUAUUUUAGCCCAGACUUUAUGAAGAAUGAUCAAAAUAAAAACCCUAAAAAGACAUUAAUAACCGGGGAAGGGUAGUUUUUCCAAUAUUUCCUAUAAUUCAAAAGAACAAUGCUUCAAAUCAAGUAGUGAGAAUCUAGAAAUCUCAAAGUAGAAGAAAAAUGAGAAAGGUCCGCUAAGAUACUCAAGAGAUCUUAGGCAAAAAUUAGGACAAAAACACAUCAGAUCCUCACUUGUCAAUACUAAAACGAAGCAAUAAAAUCACGAGAGGAAUCAUUGGAAAUAGGAUAUCGGAGAAAAGGAGAUGUAGUGGGAAGGGAAACACAAUUUGAGCCUUAAUAUCCAUUUUUUUGUAAGCCAUUUAACCAGGCCACGAUUCAAGCCCAAAAAGUCCUUGUUGAGGAAUAAUUUGUUUGGAACCAUGCUAGGGUAAAAAGCAAACUGACUCCAGAAGGAAACGUUUUAAGUGCACUCAUAUUUUGUAAACCAAAACUCGCACAAAGUGAUAAUUACGUUAAUAUUUCUAAAAAAUAAAAAGAAAAAGAACAUCCUGGUAGGUCGAAAACCUGAAAGGGCGGCCUAGGCAAAAGUUAGGGAUUAUCAUUAAAGAAAGUCGUUCUCAAUCGGAAGAAUGAUCACUCAGGAAGACAUCAAAGUAAGAUACUGGGGGCAGGUUCAUUGGAUGAGUAGUCUCACCCANNNNNNNNNNNNNNNNNNNNNNNNNNNNNNNNNNNNNNNNNNNNNNNNNNNNNNNNNNNNNNNNNNNNNNNNNNNNNNNNNNNNNNNNNNNNNNNNNNNNAAAAAAAACUCGUUCAAAUCUAUACCUCCACAUGUUAAUAUAAAGUCAUACCUUGUUCAUUAUCCCUCAUAUAUUAAUGCAUGAGUUGUUUUUGUGAAAAUACACUGAUGAAUAAUAAUAUGACCUUUUGCGAUAAUUAAUCAGAACAAGUAAUCGAGCAGCAUGGCCAUCCGUAAAGAAGAGCUGAAAUCAUGUCAAUAUAAAGCUUUAUUACUAGAGCUUCCACACCAAAUGAAAUUGGAACUUCAGAUUGUAAGGAUGCUCAAAAUCAAAUUCAAUGAUAACGGACUUGUAAAAUGAAAACAAUCAAGAUUUUCUCAAUAAAUGAUUCAAACAUUACAAGCAAAAAACCACACAUCAUGCAUUGCAUAUUCACAAACUAAAAAACAUCUGCAUUUACUUUUAUUGUCUCGAGUUCCGGCAGUACCUGACCAGCGUUCUCGCAAGUACUUUUAUUGUCUCGAGUUCCGGCAGUACCUGACCAGCGUUCUCGCAAGUACUUUUAUUGUCUCGAGUUCCGGCAGUACCUGACCAGCGUUCUCGCAAGUACUUUUAUUGUCUCGAGUUCCGGCAGUACCCGACCUGCGUUCUCGCAUUUACUUUUAUUGUCUCGAGUUCCGGCAGUACCCGACCUGCGUUCUCGCAUCUACUUUUAUUGUUCCGAGUUCCGGCAGUACCCGACCUGCGUUCUCGCAUUUACUUUCAUUGUCUCGAGUUCCGGGAGUACCCGACCUGUGACCUGCGUUCUCGCAGUUACUUUUAUUGUCUCGAGUUCCGGCAGUACCCGACCUGCGUUCUCGCAUUUACUUUCAUUGUCUCGAGUUGUGGUAGUACCCGACCUGCGUUCUCGCAUUUACUUUCAUUGUCUCGAGUUCCGGGAGUACCCGACCUGUGUUCUCGCAUUUACUUUUAUUGUCCCGAGUUCCGGCAGUACCCGACCUGCGUUCUCGCAUUUACUUUUAUUGUCCCGAGUUCCGGCAGUACCCGGCCUGCGUUCUCGCAUUUAUCUUUUUAUUAUUUCGAGUUCCAGCAGCAUCCGACCUGCGUCCUCGCAUUACCUUUUGUUAUUAUCAAGUUCCAGCAGUACCCAACCUGCGUUCUCACUUUACCAAUUAUCUCUAUCUCACUUAAGGUUGUAUAGUUUCUUUCGCCCAUUUGUACCAAAAUUGACGUUCAUUUCUUUACUAACUGCUUACAGAAAUAGCAACCAAUCCUCAGUUUGUCUACUACUUAGUAAGCAAUGAGUAAAGAGGGGCAGUUGUGAACACUCAAUUUUUGUCCUACCCAAUUUCACAGUCUCCUUGCAUCGGUUGACUCAUAAGAGUUUCCCUGAUCAGUAGACAUUCAAUUUGUUAAGAGUUUAUCAUCUUGUAUGUUCAUUAUUAUUUUUUUGUGUGUGCUCAUCAGACCGAUCAUAAGUCUUGUAAUGUUGAAAGUGCAAGCACGUUACCCAUGAUUAAGUUGAUAUAGGUAAUGAUUUUUAACACAAGCCUUAGACAAAAGAUGUGAAGAUCUUAAAUAUGAUUUUUAUGAAGAACUUGUAAUUCACAGAUUCCCUGAACUUUGUUUUAAAGAUUAGAUUAAGGAAUGAAUUCGUCUCACAGGAUUGUAAGAGUCAAAGCGUGAGUGCUCACAUUUUUAUAUGAAGGACAAUCUAUACCCGUCAAUCCUUGGUCUUAAUAUGGCAAGAAAAAUAAUAGAGUACCUGCAUAUUCAAAAUAGAAAGUGAAGUUCAAGAUCUUUAAGUGGAAAAUUGUCUCACUGGGAGAACAAUCCUAAUUUCCAUUUAAUCCCAAAUAUCUGUCAGUUGUUUAAGUUUGAAAAUAAGCAUGUCAAUUUUGCUGAAAAUAAUACAUUUUAUGUUCUGGUUGGCGAUUCUAAUGUGAGACCAAAGAUAGUCGGCAAUCAAUAUGGAGAAGGCCCAUCCUUUGUGCUUGUCUNNNNNNNNNNNNNNNNNNNNNNNNNNNNNNNNNNNNNNNNNNNNNNNNNNNNNNNNNNNNNNNNNNNNNNNNNNNNNNNNNNNNNNNNNNNNNNNNNNNNUUCAUUCAAUUUUUAUAAUCAAUCUUCAGUUCAUGUGUCAAUACCUUAUGAGAAAGAGAUAGAUGCUUCUAAUGUUGACUAAAUAAAGUUUAAAACCGUGUCCAAGAAUAAGCAAAAUUUCAAAACAACAUGCUUCAACUCAAUUACUUAUAAGGUGUCGACCUCUUAUACACCACCCUGCACUGGUAAUGGAAUAGUAUCCAGUUUUUUACAUGAGAAAUAAGGUAUUCAUCGCAAAACAGAAACGAUAAAUAGUGGUACCUGAGCAAUAUGCUUAACAAGGAUCAGUUUAAUCAUUACAAAUGAUGCAUACCAUCCUUGCUUUAGACCAUAAUAUUUCCAAGAGCCCUUCGGCAUCAUCAUCAAUAUAGAAGAGGGUAUCCAUGGGCAGUCCGACAUCAGAACAAAAGGGAAAUUAAUCAGGGAGUUAGGCCAAACACUAGAUAGAGGACAUUAAGCUAAUAAAAGGCUGUAAAGAGAUGGCAUCAGGAAUGGCCUAUGCUGUUACAGAUUUCAAAUAAAAUCAUUAAGCCAACCCAGCCAUGGACUAUCAGUUAAUAAAAUCUCAUAGGACAGCACUAAGCAGAAGUAAUACGAAAUUAUUAUCCUCCAGUUACACUUUGAGGCAUUAAUGCAAUGAUAUUAGAGGAAAAUAAAAUGCUAUCGAUAGUAAGGGCUAUCAAUCAACAAAAUUUCAAAAGGGUUGCACUAAACAGUUACAUUCUGAAGUAAUAACAGAGCAAUAAAGUAUGAAAUUCAAAUCAGUCGGGGGUUACAAAUCAGUGUAGAAAAACAGUAAGGUACUAAGGCAAAGGGAAAUACAAUCAGCCGUGAAUAAUAUCCAGAGAGCAGUUUAGAGCAUUAAUAUUUUAAUUACGGUCAUCAUUAGCAAAUUGUAAAUAGCUCGACAGUUAUCACAUAGUCCUAAUCAGCAUUCAUAGGCAGUUAAAGUAUUGAAAUCAGAAAGCAAAAUUCAUGGGAUUUCAAAAGGGGCAGUUUCAGUCAGUAACUCAAAAGGUUUUUGCAUUGACUCAUACUCAGCUAUAAAUAGCAGCUCCAUUCAUAACCAGAGGAACAUUGAUACACACAUACAUUCAGCCAAAAAAGCAAAAGAGAAAGAAUACAAAAAAGAAAGAAAAGCAUUGCAAUAGUGAUAAAAAGAGAACAAAUCAGAAAAAUUAGAGAGGAUAACAAGUGAAAAACAGGGAGCAUUCUAUAGAGAAAGGCAGAAAUAUAAACAGAGAGAGUGACAUUCAAGCAAACUUAAUCCAAAAUAGACUUACGUUUCACAAGCAUUACAAAGUGGUAGAACCCGUAUCAUACGACAGGAAGCAUAUAUUCAGGUAACCAUUCAAACGAAAUAGGUAUCAUAACAUGUCUUAUUUUAGGUGAUUUAUGCAUCGAAGUUAUAGGAAUAAAUUAUAAACCGAUUUAAUCGGCCAUUUCGCAGAAACUCACAUAAGUAUAAUAGGCUAGAAUAUAAAAUAGAGCAUGAACGAAAUUGGUUUUAAUCUAUGUAUUUCCACCAGUUAAAGAGAUUUGUUUUAGUCCAUGUAUUCCCACCAGUUAAAGACCAAACACUCAUCGAUGUUGACAUAACAGAUUAAAUUCAUGCUCUAAAAUCAAAUAGAAAGGAUAAAAGAUCAAAGAGGGAUACCGAAGUAGAAAAAUGCGAUUUCCAUUCUCGAUGUCAUCUUGUUAUCCGAUGCAAACCGUAGUACGAGUAGUAACCAGAACCGGGAACCACCGUGAAGGUUCGGGUCCCGCCGAUGAAAACCGCACUCGAUCCUUUCCUCGCCCUUAAUAAGCCUCUACGAGGACAGGAAGUUAUAAAAAUGAUAAAAAAUGUAUAAUAAUAGAACAAAGAAGCAAAUGGAGAAGUAAGAGGAGACGAGUGAUGAAAACCAAAGAGAUUAGGAAGGAAUGAGGACCUUUUUUCGGCCGUGAAUGAGAACCGAACCACCGUAAGUCGCGAGGAUUCUUAAUCACCACUAUCGCAACGCUUCAAGCCGAGUCAUCACCGAAGAAGAGAAAAGAGGGAGAUUUCGUUCGAUGCAUCUCGAAGAGAAAGGGAUUCUCUUCGUCGAUCCCCUCCAACACGGGCUGGAAGGCUUCCUCUAGCUAAAUCCGUGAAAUCAAUUGGGAGAGGUUGAAAUCGGGUUCACUUCUCUCCAAGUCGUAGAGCCAGUUUUCCAACCGAAAAUCGGGUCGCGACAACAUCUUUCUUUUGAACAUGGUCCCUUAGGAAGUGAUGCCUUAUAUCUAUGUGUUUUGUUCUAGAAUGCAUAAUAGGAUUCUUUGUAAGAUUUAUAGAACUAGUAUUAUCACAUUUCAGCGAAGUGCAGCCUAAGUCUAAGCCAUAAUCUCGUAAUUGUUGCCUAAGCCAUAACACUUGGGCACAACAACUACCUGCUGCUAUAUAUUCAGCCUCAGCAGUGCUUAGCGCAAUACAUGCUUGUUUCUUGCAAGACCAAGAAACUAAAGCAUUGCCUAAAAUGUGACAAGUACCUCUUGUACUUUUCCUUUCAGAAUUUCAGCGGAGUCCAGCCUAAGUCUAAGCCAUAAUCUCGUAAUUGUUGCCUAAGCCAUAACACUUGGGAACAACAACUACCUGCUGUUAUAUAUUCAGCCUUAGCAGUGCUUAGCGCAACACAUGCUUGUUUCUUGCAAGACCAAGAAACUAAAGCAUUGCCUAAAAUGUGACAAGUACCUCUUGUACUUUUCCUUUCAGAAUUACAUCCGGCAAAAUCUGAAUCCGAAUAUCCAACCAAUUCACAUAUACUUCCUUUAGGAUACCACAGUCCAACUUCAGUUGUUCCUUUAAGAUAUUUCAUAAUUCUCUUAACAACAACUAAGUGUGAUUCUUUUGGUUUAGACUGAUAACAUGCAUACAGACAUACACUAAACAUGAUAUCAGGUCUAUUGGCAGUUAAAAAUAUAGAAGAGAUCCGAUCAUACCUCGAUACUUUGAUAUUUCAAUAAUUUUUCCACUUUCAUCAGUAUCAAUGUAUGUGCUAGAUCCCAUAGGAGUAGCUAUUGGCUUGCAGUCAUCCAUAUCAAAUAUUUUCAGUAAAUCCCUACAGUACUUGGUUUGACUCACAAAAAUGUCAUUAUCAAGUUGUUUGAUUUGUAGUCCAAGGAAGUAGUUCCACUUUUCCAUCAUGUACAUUUCAAAUUCUCCUUGCAUCAUUUUUCCAAAGUCACUACACAAACUUUCAUUAGUAGAACCAAAAAUAAUAUCAUCUACAUAAAUCUGAACUAGUAAAGUAUUAUGAUUUAUUUUCUUUAUAAAUAGAGUACUGUCGACCUUCCCUUUGGUAAAACCUUUUUCUAUCAGAAAAGUUGUUAGAUGAUCGUACAACGCUCGUGGAGCUUGCUUUAGACCAUAGAGGGCUUUCUUUAACCUGUAGACAUGAGAAGGAUGUUUGUAAUCUUCAAAACCAAGAGGUUGUUCUACAAACACUUNNNNNNNNNNNNNNNNNNNNNNNNNNNNNNNNNNNNNNNNNNNNNNNNNNNNNNNNNNNNNNNNNNNNNNNNNNNNNNNNNNNNNNNNNNNNNNNNNNNNCUUUCAAACUCGUUUAAUUCUUCUUGCAUAGAAAGAAUCCAGUGUUCAUCCUCGAUUGCAUCAUCAAUCUUGGAGGGAUCUAUCUGAGAGACGAAGGCCAUGUUUAGACAAGCAUCAAUCAUUCUACGAGUAGUUAUACCUUUACUUAUAUCACUUAUGAUGUUGUCAAUAGGAUGAUUUUGACGAGCUCUCCAUUCUCUUGGUAGAUCUGAGUGAAUAUGCUCUUCUUGAGAAGAUAGAUUAUCAUAUUUUCUCAAUUCUUCAGGUUCAGUUCUAACAUCAACAAUAGAAUUUUCUUUGGCAAAGGAACUUAGCAAGUCGUCUUCAUCACAGGAUAUCACUUCUUUUAAUACAUGAUUGGUUUCAUCAAAAGUUACAUGAACAUAUUNNNNNNNNNNNNNNNNNNNNNNNNNNNNNNNNNNNNNNNNNNNNNNNNNNNNNNNNNNNNNNNNNNNNNNNNNNNNNNNNNNNNNNNNNNNNNNNNNNNNUUGAAGAGUUCAUAGGGGGUUUUCUUAAGAAUAGGUCUUAUAAGAACUUGAUUCGAAAUAUAACACGCAGUGUUAACUGCAUCAGCCCAAAUGUAUUUUGGGAGGUUAGUUUCAUUUAACAUUGUUCGAGCCAGUUCUUCUAAGGACCGAUUCUUUCUCUCUACAACACCAUUUUGUUGAGGUGUUCUAGGAGCAGAAAAAUUGUGGUUGAUCCCAAGAUCAUCACAGAAUUCCUGAAAAGAGGAGUUUUGAAAUUCUCCCUCAUGAUUACUUCGUAUAGCAGCGACUUUUAGAGAUUUUUCAUUCUGAACUCUUUUAGCAUAAAUGCUAAAGGCUUUGAAUGCCUCAUACUUAUGUACUAAAAAUAGAGUCCAAGUAUAUCUAGAAAAAUCGUCCACUAUAACAAGAUCAUAAUAAUUUCCACCAUAACUUUUUGUCCUUUAGGGACCAAAUAAAUUCAUAUGAAGUAAUUGUAAUGAUCUAUCGGAAGAAACCAUGUGCUUUGGUUUGAAAGAAGUUUUUGUUUGUUUACCCAUUUGACAAGCACUACAUAGUUUGUCUUUAACAAACUUCAUUUUGGGUAAACCGACAACUAAAUCUUUCUUAAUAAGUUUAUUCAGAUGUUCCAUGUGAAUAUGAGCAAUUAUUCUAUGCUAAAGCCAUGCACUUAGAUAAAUAUAAUAACAAUGUUACCUGUACCAAGGAUUUUUCUUUUGAUGUUCUAUGCAUAGGUAACAAGGCCUUUAUUGCUUGAAUAAAUGAUAAUUUUGAAAAUCCACGUGCUGUGUGCUUUGAACAGCGGUUGUCAUGAUAAUACAUUUAUGCCUAUGGAUUUCAAGCAUUCCUGCAAAACAAAUUAAAAACAUUUUCUAGGUACCCAAUGUGAUUUGGGUCCUGCGGGGUUAACAACUUUUUCUAUCCAUUUAUAUUGGCCACAUGACACACCAUAUUUUUCUAAUAUGACAAGUGUUUGGUGUGUGACCAAUUUUAUCACAAUAAGAACAAGUGGGUAGAUGCUUAUGUAUCUUGUGUUUAGACUUGUGGAAAGAAUGUUGAUCAAAAUUUUCUUUAGAAAUUUUAUGCAUGCAAUCAUUCUUAGUUUUCCCAAAAGUACUCUUUAUCAUACCAUUAGUUUUUCGGCUAUUUGUGUAGCCUAGACCUUUUCGGUAAUUGGUAUGUUUUUUAAUAUUUAAAAUAUUGUCCAACUUAUAUGUACUCUUCUUGAACAUAUUCAUUUCUUGAUUUAAUGAAAUAAUUUUAUUUUCAAGAGUAUCACAUUUUCGACAAUCAAUGCACUUGUUAUUUGAUUUGGAUUUUAAAACAUCCAAAUCCUUCUGUAGAAUUUUAUUUUGACUCUCAAGAAGUUCUAUAGUGUUUUUCUGAUUUAUGCACACUUUAGAGAGUCUAAUAAAUUCUUCAUGUAAUUCACAAAAAGGCAUUAUGUAACUCUUUAUAUGAAAAUGUAUCAUCUGGUUCAGAGUUACUAACCUCAUAGUCGUCAUUUGAAUUAUGCGAAGCCAUCAAUGAAAUAUGUGUUUGCUCCAUAAUUCUGAGUUCUGCAUUUGAACUGCCAUCUUUAUCUUGUGAUAUAACAUUUGUUCUUCUAUGCUUCUUGUCCUUCUUUCCUUUGAAAGUAUGAUGUUUUUGUAGGGCUGGACAAGCACAUUUUAGAUGAUCUGGUUUUCUGCAUAUUGAGCAUGUAGAUUUCUGUUUGGAUGUUGAUGCUUCACUAUUUGUUGUAGAGCUUUGUACUUCUUUGGCUCCAUGUAUCCUUUCUAGCGUAUCCCAAAUAUCUUUCGACAUUUUGCAACUUGACACUCUAAGGAAUUCGUUUUCUUCUAGAACCGACACAAGAAUGUGUUUGGCUUUAAGGUUGUAUUACACUUUCUUCUUCUCUUCAAUGGUCCAUGAACAUUUUGGUUUUGGUUGUUUAACCCCAUUAACAAUCAUGGAUGGGAUGAAUGGACCUUCUUCUAUUGAGUCCCAUAUAUCUAAGUCUAUAGAUUCUAUGAAGAUUCUCAUCCAGAUUUUCCAGAAUGCAUAAUGUUCUCUAAUGAAAAUCGGAGGUCUAUUAAUUUUGGAACCUUCUCCUAGAAAAGACUUAUAUGCCAUCAAAAGUGCUAGGAUAUUUGGGAAUAACUUACCCAAAAUAAGCUCUGGUUCCAAUUGUAAGAAUGAGAUUGCAACUAAGAGGGGGUGAAUUAGUUGACUUAAAAUUAUGGUAACUUUUUCUGCAAAAUUUAAGAGUUAAUGUGCAGCGAAUAAUAUUGCAGAAAAUAACCAAGAAUAAAUUAAAGAAGUAAGGGAAAGGAGAGUACACAAGGAUUUUAUACUGGUUCACCUUCUAAUCCACCGAAGGCUACGUCCAGUACUCUUGCAGCACAAGAGAUUUUCCACUAAAUAUUAUGAGUUGUAAUUACAAUAUCUCACCCCGAGAUCUUUAAGUAUCUUACACACUGACUAAUAUUUAUACCCUUGGAAAACACAUUUCCAAGUAACUCUAUCCCCUUUCUAUUCACACCCUGUGAAAGAAAGUUUAUUGCAAUGAAUGAAGAAUUUGAAUGAUGGCUUUGGAUUGCCUUUACAAGUAUAAAAUAUUAUAACACUUGCAAUCCAAUCAACUCUUUUGUAUACGUAGUAAUAAUGCUCAAUAGAUUUUUAAAACCUUGAAACAAUUACUUCAAGUAACUCAGAAAAAAUCUCUUUUGAAAGUUUAAGAACUUAGUGCAAAAGUGCAGAAAUAUAGUGAGAGAAUUUUUCAGAGUCGUAUGAGAGUUGUGUGUUUGUGUUGUGAAAGUUAGAGUCUUUAUAUAGACUUUCAAAACACCCAUGGUGUCUUUCUGAAAGUGUAGGAGUUGUUUGAAGUGAAGAGAUUUCAUUUGGAAUGAAAACAUUUCGUUUUGAAAUCUGAAAUCUCAUGCAACAGUCUUCAGUAAUCGAUUAUUGAUAGUGGGUAAUCGAUUACCCAAACUCUCUGUCCACUGUUUAUUUAAAAACGAAUUAGAGUACUCGAUUACACCAUUUGGGUAAUCGGUUACUCAACUUUUCUAAAAGUGAUAAUUUGUUACUCAAAGGCAGUAAUGGAUUACUCUAAACAGUUUAAAGUUGGAUAACUCUUUUUCUCUCACAUGUAACUUGUUACUUAAAUGAAGUAACACGUUACACAUCAUUCUUAAAAAAUGUUUUUAAGUAUUUUUAAAAUAGUUUGAGCAUUACUACUUUGUAUUUAUAAAGAGUUUUAGGAUAGAAGUACCUAUAGAGACUUAAUCUAAUUUUCUUGAAGCUUUAAUCUUCUUUGUCUUCAUAAGUAUUCUUCAUUUUAUUCUUUUUGGUGAUUUUGGUGAUUUUGGUGUCUUCAUCAAAACCUUGCCAAGGUCAGGAGCAAAGAUAUUCUUCAUAGAUAUUGGUCUAUGAUUUCUGGAAAUCUGUUUGAGAUGGAUAAUAGCAUUUUUAGGAAUGUGGGUGGCUUAUCUACUACUGGUGUUAGCGUAGGUGAUUGUGAAAGGCUUGCUGAUUUCGACGUUGCUGAGGUAUAUAAAUCAUGUCUGAGAGGUACUCAUUUGUAUGUCCAGGGAGAAUUGAGUAAAGAUGGUUCUCUAUCGGUAGAGAAUAGAUUGCUUCACUACUUGAUUGCCUACAUUUUUAUUCAGAGGAAAACUAACCAUGCACAACCUAUUGUUAAUGAUCUGAAAUUUAUGUAUGUCGUGAAGGAGAAUAUAAUGGUUAAUUGGCCUGAAGAAAUUCUGAAGGUCAUGUAUAAUGUCUCUACAUCGCUCCAAAAUGUUGCCCUACAGUAUCUUCAUAUCGAGAAUUAUUGACUAUUUGCAUAUUGGUGUUUCGGACACCAUCAUCACAUAGACUUCUGAUAAAGAUCACCUUGUUAGUGAAAGCCUAAUCCACAAAAUGGGUAUUUACAAGUAUGGAAAUACUUGGCAAUACCAGGAAGAUUUUACUAUAGUGGAUUUGGAGAUAUUUGAUGAUGAGGAUCAGGCUGGUACAGAACAGCCUAAGGUAGAGACUCAGUGGGAGCCAUCUGGAACUGCGAAGCAAGAAUCGUCCUUUGGAUUAGAUCAACUGGAUGUCAUGGAGCAAAGGCGGAGCAAUAGGAUGGACUUACACUUUCAGUCUUUAAAGGACUCCUACCACACUGGUUUGGAACAAUUUGAGGAGCGUCAGAUUGCAUACAUCGAUAAUUACUAUCAGACUAUGAGGAGCUUUGUCCAGAACACUAUUGAGGCACAUAAUGCUAGAUUUUCUGCAGAGUUUAAGAAGCAGAAAUUCCUCAUCUGAGGUGAUAGUAGUUUGACCGCACCUGAUGAUAGAGAUCCUCCUCAGCAUCCCUAGAAUAGAAGGCCUUAGAUCUUAGAUUUCCCUAGGUUUAGUCUUUCUAUAUGGCUAGUUUUUAGGAUUUGUGUUGCUUUGUAAUUCUGAGACCUAUUUUCUCUUCGAUUUUUGGAUUAUAAUUAUCUACUAUUGCUGCAACUUUAUGACUUGAUAUGCAUGCCAUUUGAUCUUUAAAUUGUUUCUAUUGUGGUUUCAUUUUGCUUAAAUAUGUCAAAUAUUGGAUGAUUGCAUCUUUUAAUGGUUCUUGAUCAUGUUUGGUUAUAUGUAUAUCCUAUCUUUAAUUGAGCUUACUGUUUCAAUGUUCUAAUGUAAAUGCUUGAUCAUUCCAUGCUUGAUUGGUUCAUAUAUAGCCCUCCAUGCCAUUAUAUAUGUCAUAUUGCUGUAUUUUGUUGGUUUAAUCGAUUAACCUACUAUCUUAAUCGAUUAAAUGUUGCUUAACUUGUGAACUUGUUCAAUUCUUACAUCAAUUGGUUAAUUAAUUAAAUUCCCACCACUAAUUGAUUAGUUACAGUUUGAGUUCACUUCAUAUGUCUUCUUACUUUGGACCAAAAUUUCAUUGAGUUUAUCUUUUUGAUAAUGUCAAAAGGGGGAGAAAGGUUGUUUUGUUGUUUAAUGUGCGCAGCUUGUAAAUAAUACCAAGCUUUCAUUGUCUAAGCUAUGUGCUUUAACUUUGAAAUCAACAACCAUGCAUUCAAUGAUCAUCUUCAAGCUAUGCAUCAAAACAAAGUUGGUGUAGAGUUUGUCAUAAUAAAAAAGGGGGAGAUUUAAAGUGUGAGUGUCAAGAGAGUACGUUAGUUUGCCUAUGUUUUGAUGAAGACAAAGGACUUAGUGAAAGCUUAAAGACAACUCAACAAAUCAACAUGAGACAUGCCAUCUAGUUGAUUAUAUGUUCAUGCAUUAAUCAUACAUGUUAUUUGUGCAUUUUAGGCAUAACAUAAAGGUAAAGCAUAACAUAUAGGUAGUUUACCAAUUUAGAUCUUAACUGAAAAUACGUUAGUUAAUCGAUUAAGUAAAGCUUUAAUAGAUUAAUGAGAAAACAGUUUUUAAUAGUUUCAACAGAAAACUGAAAAACAUAUUUCAGUUACUCACUAACAGCCCGUUAAUUGAUUAACAUGCAACUUAAUCGAUUAACUGGGUGAAAAAUAGCUUUUCUAUAUAAAUUAUUUUGUUAACAAAUUUCACAACGAUUUUCAUACAUUCAUACAUUCAUAUUAGAAUUGCUAUGUUGUGUAUUCUUUUGUUCAAUGUAUGCCAUAUAGGCUGAGAGAAAGUGCAUGUGAGAUUAGAGUGAGAUAGUAUUAUGCUUUAGGAUUAACAUGUCAUCCAUUGCAUAUUUUCAAAUGUGUUUGUCAUCCUAUCUUGUUCUUGCAUGAUUCUUUCAUUACUGUUUACAGGUUUUUUAAGGGUAGAAAUCAUAUGUUCUUCAUGAUUUUCAUCUUAUACAUAUUCAUAGUAAUUGUUAGAUUUGUAUAGGUUUAACAGCUUGUUCGUUCGUGUAAUAUUUGAGCUAUAUUGUUGCUUCACAUACUACUGUUUUUGUGUUGAUUGUGUAACAAGGUAAAGUAGUCUCUUGGUGUCGUACCACCAUAGAGAUCAGAGAGUCUUCACCAAGACUUGUAGGUCUUGAGUUUAGAGCAUACUCUUGGCUGGGGCUGGAUCGUAGGAAAGGUUUUCCUAGGCGAUUGGGUAAGGUCAAACCAAUGUAUAGGUUCUGGGAACUCAAGAAGGGAGCAUUCAAGGUCUUGUAAUUGGAAGUGUGUUUGUAAGACACAUUGGCUUUAAUUGUUAGUGAAGAAAAAUCUCCCAGAUCAGAGGGGAGGACUGGAUGUAGUUUUGCAUUGGACCGCAAAACGAACCAGUAUAAAAAUCUUGUUGCAAGUUUUUCUUCCCUUAUCUCUUUACUCUUUUCAGUAUCUUUUAAUUGCUUAUUGAAGCUGAUUUUUUGAAUAUAGCAUUACUGCCAAAUAAAUAUCAUUUGUGUUCAAAAAUAUCUGAUAAAUCAAUUUUGUAUAAUCUGUAAUUGACUGUACAAUUGUGUCAGUUAGGAACUGCAAUUUUUUGUAAGACUUAAUCGAUUAACUAAGCAAAUAUCCAGAACAUCGAUUAACUAGGCAAAUUUCCAGAACAGGGUGUUCGUGCAUAUAGCGGUAUGUGGGAACCGGGACACCUAUUCACCCCCCACCCUUCUAGGUGUAUUUUGUUACUGAUACCUAACACUCCUUAGCAAUGAGAUCGUGAAAUGCAUGCAAAAAAUGAUUUCUUAUUGAUGCAUGAUAUGCAUGAAGUGAACCUUUUUUCAUGUUACAUGAAUUGAGAUGCAACUUAUAACUCGAAAUGAUGCCUGAAAUGCUAACUUGGAUGGAUGGCUCAUGCUCCUAACAAUUUCUUUUUAAUAUGGUUAUGUAUUUCUACUUCUUCUUAUAUUCUAAAAGUUUGAAUUUUAAUCAUUCAAGUUGGUGCUUUGGUUAAUUUUACUUGUUUGAGAAGUACUUAAUGCUCUUUUUAGAUUGAUCACCUAAAAAUGAUUUCAAGUCAUAAAAUUACUUGUCUAUAACACUUAACAAAUAAACUAAGAAGUAGUUGUACUACUUAGUUUAUUUGCCAAGUUAAGCAUACUUUUCUUAAGAUCUUAUAUUCAUUACUACUUCCAUAUUAGAGUAGCCAAGAUUAGGGUUUAACAACCUAGUCUCUCGUGGACGUAAUAUUGUUUGGUAAUAAAUAUAAGUUUAUAAGUGUUUAUGAUUCUACCAUUUUAGGACAUACACUAAAAGGAGGAUUUUAGAACUUGGUGUUUGGAGUUAAUCAAAGUAAAACAAAAGAACUUGUCUAAGUAGUUCAAACUCACAAGAAGUUGAGAAAUAUAUUUUCCUUAUUCAAAAUGAUUUUGUCUCCUAAAGAAUGUGUUAAUAUUUAGCUUAUGUUUAUUGUUAAUUGUUUAUAUGCAAUUCAAUUCAACAAAACUAAAAUAUGUUUAAACUCAUUAUUUGUGCAUUGAAAUAUUUAUGAGAUUCAUUUUAUUAGACAAUUCCUUGUAGUUCGACAUAACAUAUACUAUACUAUAAUUGAAUCUUGAACGAGGUGUAAAUUGUAAAAUAGUAAAGUGUUAUCAAUAAAUUUAUUUGUUGAAAACACAUUUUAAUAUACAAAAGUGAUGAAACUAACUUACUAAGUUUUAUUUAUUGUUAUUUAUUUUUCACAAUUUAUUUAUUUCUUAAUACCAAUCUUCCUUAAGGAAGAAGUUUAGUUUGUUCAUAAAAUGAACCCGAAAGGGAGUACAUAAAUAAAUGUCACUUAAAUUUAUUAUUCUUUUGUUCUUUAUUUAUUCAUUUGUUUCUAACAACUAACUACUCAUCACUUUUGUAUAUUAAAAUACCAUUAAAAUGGUGUUGUAAUUUAUUCCACAAAACCGAGAUGGUAUUCAAAGGUACUUAAUAAUUAUGUAAUAGGUAAUUGCUUCGAUACCAUUGUACUGGCGUUAGAAUUUAUUCAAAUAAAGCCGAGAUGAGGCAAAGAAGGAAUGACUUAUUUACAUGAUUGUUAAAGAAGUAAGUUAUAACUGGAAUUUUCUUGAAACCAUUAAACCGGCGUUGGAAUUUAUUCUAACAAAGCCAAGAUGGCGAACAAAGAAUACAAUCGGGUUCACUUACUUAAUCAAAUAAAAAGAACACACCGAAAAUGAGACUAAUAACCUUUCAACAAAUUGUUACUGCUGUCAGGAUGAUUUGUUGAGGGGAAAAACUCUCAACACCUAAAACCCUUUCAACAAUAAGCCACUUAAUGAAGAUAUUUUUUUAAUGUCGUGAACGAAUGAAUAAGUCAAUCAAAUAUAUUUUUUUAUUUUUGAAUGUAGGAUUGAAUGAAUGAAUUUUUCUUUUCGAUUGCAUGAGUGAAUGGAUUUUUUUUUCAAUUGCAUGAGUGAAUGAAUGUGCUAGUAAUGUACUCUUUUUAAUGAAUAUACGAAGGCAUAAGUCAAUGAAAGUUUAAAUAAUUUUAUUUUUAUUUUAAAAAAAAUGCAUAUAUGGAUAGCUAAUUAAAAGAAUGUAUGAGUAAUGUAGUCUUCUUAUAUGCAUGAAUGAAUAUUUAUUUAGUUAGUUUAUGUAUGGAUGUACGUAUAAAUCUAUUGAUAAAAAGUUUAUUUUUAAACGCAUGAAUAAAGGCAUAAAUCAAUCAAUGAAGAUUUUUAUUUUUGAAUGCAUAAGUCAAUCAAUGAAUAUUUUAAUUUUUUGAAUACAUAAAUGAAUGAAUAAUUGACUGAAUGUUUGAAUAUUUAUUUUUUAUGUUUAUGCAUCAAAUGAUGCUUUUUUUGUAUGAUGUAUUUUUUUUAUUAAUGCAUGAUCAAUGAAAUGUCUAAAAAUACAAAAUGUAUGCCCCUUAGGGUAAUGGACCCUAUAUUGGGGGUGAUUUAGCCAUUACUACGAUUUGAACAUGUAUAUAUAUAUUUUUUAAAUUAUAUUUCUUUUAUUUUUAUCGUUCUGGCUAGCUUAGGGCCAAAAUAAAUUUCAAUAUUUAUUUUUAUAAUAAUCUCUUUGUUAGGGGAAUAGGAAUUCCCUCAAGGGUGCGAUAUUUUACAUGAUUUUUAUUUUACAUCACAAAAUUCUAAACAAUAUGCUAUAAUACAAACAUAUACAAAUCAAAAGAUUCACAACAAGUACAACAUCCUAUGAUAGGGUUCUAACAUACAAUGGAUGUCGUUGGCAAGUUAUAGACUCCCUAUAAGGUGCCCAUAUUUCAACUCUCUUCAAUAGAGAAACUCAAAUAUUAUGAUGUUAGAAAUAGAAGACCAGUACGAGCGGCUAACUCAUAAUAAGAGGUAACAAUAUGAGUGGUCCACAUCACCAACACUUAGAAGGGGUAAAGACCACGACCAGUGAGGUUAGUGUCUCUUCUAUUAAAAAAUGUAUCACUAAUACCCAGGUGUAGGGCAUAUGUGUGACUAAAAUAUGUACAUGAUAUAUCAGCCAAUAAAAAAAAUAAUACAAACAUAACACAUGCACUUAAUAUUUAUAACAUGUAAUUCAUCCAUACAAAUAUAAUUAUUAAUUAAUUGUGAAAUUCAUGUUUACAACAUACAAUUAAUAAUUAAGCAUACAAUUCAUAUUUAUAACAUACAAUUAAUAAUUAAGCAUGUAACUCAUAUUAAUAUCAUAACAUAGGAUUAAUAAUUAAGCAUGCAAUUUUUCGUGUUGUUGGAAAUUAACUAAUUAACCAAAUAGAAAAAAAUCAUAAUAAUAAACAAACAAUCGCACAGAUUAUUCAUUAUGGGUCGAACUAUCAAAAAAGUCCCCAACAUAGUCGCCAGUUAUCGUGCCUCGAUUUUCGGCUGCACGACUUUAUUUUGAGUCGCCACUAUAUUUUAUAGUUAAAAAUGUAGAAAAAUAUUUUAAGCCCAAUUACCUUGGGCUUUUGGAUUUUUGAUAUUCAGGUUUUGGAGUCGGUUACAAGGUAGGGAAGGUAUUAACAUCCUACUCGCUCGCCUUAAGCGGUACCCUUCAUUAAAAUAUACGACUUUAUUAUUAUUAUUAUUUAUUAUCAAAUUAUCUAUUUAAUUAAUUAAUUAUUAAAAGGAACAAAUUUAUUUAUUUUUAUUAUUGUGUCAGAAAAGAUUGACUUUGGUCCUACGUAUCCAUAUUAAGGGAAUCAAAGCUUACGUAGUUCUUUAGGUAGAAACAGGUUUGUUGGUUGACUGUAUUUUAAUUAAGGAAAAUAUAUUGUUUAGUCAAAAAUGUUUAUUUGCAUGUUAAUUUAUUGGUGAAAAAAAAAGUUAUAAUUUGGUUAAUUUUUGUCAUUUAUUUAAUUAAGAAAAUAUAACUUAAUCGAUUUUGAGAUUUAAUCGGUUGAAAAGAAGCAGUGUAGCAUGACAUUUUGAAGAUGAUUUGAGAAGAAAGAGUCAUAUACGGCGACCUUCUCUUCAUCUUUGAUUAAUUCUUAGAAUUAUUUUAUUUUUUGAAAAGUACAUGUUGUCAUCUUUUAUAUAUAAAAAAUAUUCAAUUUAUUAUUAGUCACAAUUCUAAUUAUUUAUAGAAAAGAAUUUUAUAAGUUAUCAAAAAGGUUUGAUUAAUUGGCAAAUAUAUGAAAAUGAUUUUUUGUUUUGCUACUUUUAGUAUGUUAAAAUAUAUUCUAUUAACUCAAAUAAUUUCGUUAAUAGUUAUCUGGAUUUUCAUUAGUGGAAUCUGAUUAUUUAUUAAUAAAAUUUAGUGAUUGAUUAUAGGAAAAUAAUAAAUCAAUUGCAAAAAAUAAUGACACAAAAAAAAACAAUUUUAGUGACUUUUCCCAAAAGAAUAGGAAUUCUUUUUGUCUAUGAUGUUUGUUCCUACUUUCAACAAAAUUUUAAUUUAACAAAUAUCAUUAUUAUUGAAUCUCUACACAGUAAAAUAAAUAAAUUAUUUAUAACAAAAUUAUUUUUACAGAAUUAAUAUUAACAUUAUGAUAGAACAAACUCAUGAACUAGAUCAAAUAGAGACAAACCUAGUUAUAAAGGAAUGAAAUUUUUAGAACUAUAGGGAAAUAGAUCAUGUGUUGUAGUAUGGGAGAUAUUGAUUAGUGCAACAAAUUAGAGCUAGCUAUGUGGCAUGAUAUGAUCAGAGCAAGCUACGUUGAUCAACUCUCAUGUUUUUUGUCUGGGAAAUAAAGCUAUACAUUUUUGCAGAACACACUUUAUUGCUACAAGCAUACAAUAACCUAAUAACCCAAUGCCCCAAUAAUGGAAAAAAGUCUCAAAGCGGAAAAAAACUCUAGCAGUCGAAAAAUAGUAAUUUUUAGUACUUUUUUUGGCAUUUCUUGGAAUGGCUUUCUUUUGGGUAUUUUUUUGGAAUGUUGGGAGUGACGGAUCCUGUUUUAGAGGUCUUUUCUUGAUUUUCACAUUUCCUAAUUGAGAUCUUUGACUUAUUUGAUUGAUUUGCAAUCUUGAUUUAUUUGGUUCCAAAUAUCUAAAGAUUUAAUUUUCUAAUCAAAUUGAUUUGUGCAACACAACUAGGUUAAUGUGAACUUUCUAAUUUGAUUUGAUUUGCGUAUUUCCAUAUCGCAAUCUUGAUUUGAUUAUUGAAUCGUAAAAUAUUUAGUUAUUAUCAAAGUGAUUUAUGCAACUAAUCAAAUGAUAUGAUGUGAUUCAAAUUACAUAUUUUCAUAUCUUAAGUUUAUAUGAUAAUACAAUCAAAUCUUUAAUUCACUCAUCAUUUAUUUUUAUUUAUUUAUUAUUAUUUUUUUUAGAAUAACUCUAAAACAAAUAAUGUUUUUUAGAAUUCAAUUACUUUAAACUUGAAUUUUGGUUAACCUAAUCACUUAGAUUUAGGAACCUUAACAAAUGGUUUAGUCUUAUUAUUUUAAAUUUGAAUUUUGGUUAACCUAAUCAUUUAUAUUUAGGAACCUUAACAUAACAUGUUUAGUUUUAUUUUUUUUAGAAAAUUAUUUUUGGAAUUCUAUUAUUUUUUAUUUAAAAAAGUUUUGAGCUUUUUCUGGCCCAGACAAAAAUGGGUGUUCACAAUGUGCAAGGUAGUUGACCAAGGCUGGUUUCAUGACUUUUGAAAAAAGGCUUCCCCAUUACCUUAUUGCUUAUAUGUUGGUUCAGAGAAACACCAACCACGAUCAACUGAUGGGUAAUGAUUUGAAGCUCAUGUAUGUUGUGAAAGAAUGAAUCAAGGUUAAUUGGCUUGCUGAGAUUUUGAAGGUGAUGUUUGGAAUCACUUCCUUUUCAUCUAGAUUGAUGGCAUAUGGGAUUUGUAUUUCAUGUGUCAUUGAACAUGUUGGCAUUGACAUAAGUAAUGAGGACUUAAUUAUUUUAAAUCCCAGGGAGCAUCUCAUUAAGGAUAGCCUAAUCAACAAGAUGAGUAUCUAUAAAUAAAGUUGAUUGUUGAUGUAUCAGGAGGAUCAUCAAACUACUAUGGAAUUUCAUAUGAGAAUGAGAAUGUUAUUCAUGCUAAGCAAACCCAAAUACGCAACUGCAUGAGGUUCCUACUAUCCUCAAGCACCAUAUUUCAGUUUGGCUCAUUUAGACGCUAUGUUACAAUGCCUCAAUGAGCAUAUUGAUAAUGGAAUACAAUUCAUGGAGGAAAGGCUCAUGACAUAGUUGCAUACACAAGAAUUGGAAACUCAUACUCACUUACGACAUCUUAGCUUUAUCCUUAACACCAUUAGUAGCUUCUUCCAACCACCUCAUAGUAGCUCAUCUAGUUGGGGCAACCAUUAGUAUUUCUAGUUGGCAUAUGUGUAUUUUGACUUAUGUUGACUCUUUGUGUGUUUAAAAUGGAUGUGCAUUAUGGUUUAUAUUUGUUCUGUUUCUUAUCAUUAUGUCAAUACAACUGGUAUAUUUGUUGAACAUACAUUGCUUAUAACUUGAAUCAACAAAAUAAACAAGAAACUUUUAUAAAUUUUCUGAAAUAUUUUUAUUUAAUCGAUUAAUAGCAGAUUAAUCGAUUCACUACUGCUUAAAUUGUGUUUUUCAGUGAAUUCAAAUCUUGCGUAAUCGAUUAACACCAUGCCUAAUCAAUUAGAUUGUUUAAAUAACAGCUUAUAUUUUUAUCUUGUGUUUUUUCGAGUUGAUGCAUUACAAGCUUAUGUGACAUUCAAGAAUAAAUGUACAAUAUGAGGGGAGCAAAUUUUUCAAGCUCAACUCUAAUUUUAAAAAAAGUUGAUUGCAUAUCAAGAAGAUUGCAAGACGAGUUUGUCAUCAUCAAAAAUGGAGAGAUUACUAAUUCAAGCAUACAAAAACAAGAUUUUAUGAAGACAAAGACUAAAUCUUAAAGACAAAGGACACAUUAACCACAACAGCAAAAGACUCAUAUUCAAGCUUCGAGAAAGGCUCAUGAAGACUAAGAGUAAAUAUUUUAUUUUUAGGUCCUAAAAUGCUUUGAAUGGGUAGAGUCUAGGUUGGGUGAACAUGUUGAUAAAUCUCACAUAAUAUAAGCAUAUUGCAAAAAAGUUAUUUUUCAUACAUAACAUGACUUGAACAUAUUUUUGCAUGCGUACACGAUUUUGGGCACUAAUACUUAUAUACUUUUCAAAGUCAUACAUCAUGCAUACAUCAUUCAUAUUAGAGGUUCUUGCAUAAUCAACCAAGUCUUUUUAGAAAAACGUUAAUCGAUUAAGACUUUAUCUAAUCAAUUAAGUCUUUGGAAAUCAGAAACUCGUUAAUCAGUUAAGGACAUGGUUAAUCGAUUAAGUCAGUUUCUGUUUUGGAAUCUUGGAUGUUUUAAAGAAAUUCUAAUCGAUUAAGUGACAAUUUAAUCGAGUAUCCCCAAUAGAACAAUUUGAAACUAAAUGGUAUUUCACUAUCCUUUCCCAUGUGCAAAGUAACUUACAACAAAAAGAACAAUAAAUUUUAUACUCACAGAAACUUGAUGCAGAAGGGUUGUGUUCUGAAUUGUUAGUGUAUGUUUUAGCACAUUGAAGAUGCAUUAGAAAGUUGCACACAUCGUUUACGGUCAGUUUUGCAAAUUUGUCUCUUUGAGGAUGUGAGGUAUCACCUAGAAGAAAGAGAUAAGUUUGAUAGAAAUUGCGGUUAUGGUCAAGGUCCAAGAAGAGGAUUCAUUAGGAUACUUAGUUAGAAAUGGUGAGGAGCCAUUAGAAGUCUUGGUAAAGAAGUGUUUUGUAAAACAUGUGAUUUCUUCUAGUGAAGCAAAUCUCCAAAGAUGAGAAUGGGGAUCUAGAUGUAGAUUACACUUGGAUUAGCAAUCAAACUAGGAUAAAUUCCAUGUUUCAUCUACUCUCUUAUCCUACUCUUUUACUCACUUGCAAUUAUCACAUUUUCGCAUUAUUUGAAAGUAUUCAUUUUGUGAAUAUUGCAUAAUUGAAUCUGCUUUAUAAAUCACAUUUUGUAGUCAUUUUAAGAGCAUACUAGAUUAGUAUGAUCACUAAUUUCUUGCUGCGUCAAGAACCAAAAGAUUUUUAAGAAAACAAUUUGAUUAAAUGAUUAAGUCUGUAUAUAAUUGAUUAAGUUUUGCUUUAUGUUAAUUGAUUAACUCUUCAAUUAAUCGAUUAAAACUAGUAAUUUUUUAGAUUAUCUUUUUCAAUUUGAAUCAAAUUUAAUUGUAGUUUAAACCACCUAUUCACCCCUUUAGGUGAAGAUAGGGCCUUUGUCAAACCAAUAGAAAUGACUUUUUGAAUGUGAUAAUCUAAGAUCUUACUCCAACUUACUUUAGAAUUUUUUUUAUUGAUAUGACUUGGUCAUGACAAGCAAUUUUAUUGUUGGCCCAUUUUGGGUUGGUUAGAACUUUUUCCUUUUCUACGAUCAACAUAUUUGUCUUUUUUAUAUUCAUUUGAAAAAUGGGACCAACCCUAAAAUUUUCCUAGCAUAACUUUUUUUAAAUACUAAAAAACAAUAAUCAUGCAAACUUGGAAAUGUUUGGGCUAUGAGUGUUGAUAGGAUGAUCAUAAGAGGAUGAAAUUUAGUCCUAUGCAUUAGAGAUAAUAUAUUUUCAUCAAAAUUUUAUGAUAUUUAAAGUAGUCAAUGUUUCUCUGUCAUGGUAUGUACCUUGGGAAAAUCAAUCCUCAACAAGAUCUUUUUAAUCUUUUAUCAUGGUCUAAUUAAAGGUUUCCAAGAAAACGAUAUAAGGCUCCAACAUAUUGUUUCCCAUGCUCAUUUUCUCAUUUCUUCUAUUAUCAACAUUCAUUGGCUUAUCAUUUGUAGUCUAUCAUCAUUGUCAAAGAGAGAAGGAAGUAGCAUCCCAAUGUAUGCUUCCACAUCUUAAUUCAUGAAAAGAGAAAGCAUGGUACACUACAAAAAUAUAUCUUGUUAGCCACGGUUAUAACCGUGGCUAUUGUACCAUAAAACCGUGGCAAAAUACAGCAGCCACAGUUUCCACUACCCUAGCAAUUACUGGCGUUGCAAAAAUUUAACCACAAUCAUUUUAUGAUAUAGCUACGUCUGGAGGAAGUGUGGUAACAUUUCUUUAACCACGGUUCCAACCGUGGCUAAUGUGAACCAUACUCGUGGCUAAUUAAUACCUUUAUUUUCACCACAAUUUAACCAUGGCUAAUUAUUUAUUCAGUUAUUUUCACACAUAUUCCUCUCCUAAUCCUCUCUAACAAUCAUUAUAUUCCUUAAGCAUUAAUACUAACAAAUUGGACCCAAUAUCUCAAAUUAUCAUCACCUUCAUCUUAAAAUAAUUCACAAAUACAUAAGUAUUAAUAAGUUCACAUGUAUCAUUUAAACCAAUUGUUGAAACAUUCCAAAUUUGGUUAAAAAAAACAUUAAUAUUUCUAUAGUAAAAAUUUCACGCAUAAUCACAUGGAACNNNNNNNNNNNNNNNNNNNNNNNNNNNNNNNNNNNNNNNNNNNNNNNNNNNNNNNNNNNNNNNNNNNNNNNNNNNNNNNNNNNNNNNNNNNNNNNNNNNNUUUUCGCAUCUAAAGUAUGAAAACCAUGAAUGUUAAACUAGCGAAUCGAAAAAUAUUUCCAAGUACUCUUCUUUUUGUAUUUUGAUAAACCAACCAAACCACUUUUUAUGUCUACAGGAAGUGGUAAAAAAAUGAUCACCAACAACAACCAAGUUUUUCUCAUUAGGCAACAAAAUGACCAACACAACAAAAGUAACACAAUUCUAUUAUAUUGUGCAAAACAAUAUUUACACUCUUACCGUUCACAUUUUGCAUUAUACUUGAUCAUUUGCCUAUUCAACCAAAAAAAAANNNNNNNNNNNNNNNNNNNNNNNNNNNNNNNNNNNNNNNNNNNNNNNNNNNNNNNNNNNNNNNNNNNNNNNNNNNNNNNNNNNNNNNNNNNNNNNNNNNNCAUUACAUCUUUUGCAUCAAACCCAAAUUUUUCACAUGUUGAAGAAGAUUCACACGUUAGAUAAACAUAGAGAGAGUAACAUCUAAAAUUUUGAAAAAACUCAGGUCAGAAUCAUCUACAAAAUUCCAUAAAUCAGCUCUAGUAAAAAGUAACUUACCAAAAUAAGCAAUUAUGCUUGAAUGUGCUUCCUGGAACACAAGUUGAAUAAUUUAUGGGUCAUGUUAAGGAAUGCAAUAAUAAAACAUAUAAAUGAAGUACUAGUACAUCAAUUUGCCAAAUAAUAUUUUCUUUAUCUGUUUUUUAGUAAAAUUAUAUGGUUUUAGUUAAUUUUCAAGUGAAAUGUCAACAUCCAAGACUGAACAACUGAAGCAGGAUGAGGAAUGGAGUAAUGAAACAAAAGAAAUAGUAAGACUAAGAAGGAAACAAAAGAGUUUCUAAAGUCAAUUUAUGGAUGCAUUGUUUAAAGCAAUACCUUCAAGUUGUAGCUAGAACACCAAAGUGUAUAACAUAUGAAAAUAUGAACGUUUCUCCUUUAGAAGCAAAAAAGCUAUAGUUCUGUAUUCUCGUUAUAUAUACUGAUACUAAUAUUAUAUCCAACCUUCAUUUAUGUGAUAUCUAACCUUCUUCAUGUGAGAUUUGCAUGAACCUUCCUUGUGGUACCGGUCCAGUCAGCUUUAGAGUUCUUAUUUAUGAAGGUUGUUCGUCAAUUCAAAAAGGCAUCCUCCUCAACUUUUACAAGAACACAUCCAUUCGAUUAUACAUAUUUAGAAAGAAAAUUGUAAACAUGGACUAAUAAAAAACUCAUAGGUUAGGGAUUUGAACAUAUUUGGGGAAAUCAAUAGCAGAUUUAGAAAAUGUGAAAUUAGAUAAUUAGGAUUAAUGAUUAUAGUAGAAGAAUCAAUUAAUUAGGUAUUUUUAUUCAGAAUUGAAGAGAAUCGAACCUUGGAAGAAGCUUCCAUUUGAUUUGGAGUUGUUGAACUCACAACAAUGAAGAAAAUUAAAUUCACGUAUUUGAACUUGCUUGAAUGAGUGAAAGAGAGUGAACGAGAGAGAAGAGAAGAGAGUGAACGAGAGAGAGAAGAUAAGAUAAGAGAGUGAACUAGAGAGAAGAAGGUGAGAAAUGGGGAAAAAUGAAAGUGAACGAGAGAGAAGAAAGUGAGAAAUGAAAAAAAGAGAGGAAAUUGAGUAUCGAUCCCACAUUGCCCUCGUUGAACAAAAGAUAAGUGUUAUAUUUGUUUGUCUGUGUAAUAUUUUAACUACAGUUACUGAAACCGUGGCUACCAUAGAGUGGCCAUUCUGCGAUUUUUUUGUAGUGNNNNNNNNNNNNNNNNNNNNNNNNNNNNNNNNNNNNNNNNNNNNNNNNNNNNNNNNNNNNNNNNNNNNNNNNNNNNNNNNNNNNNNNNNNNNNNNNNNNNUAUCCUAUCGUAUCAUAUCCUAUCCUAUCCUAUCCUAUCCUAUCCUAUCCUAUCCUAUCCUAUCCUAUCCUAUCCUAUCAUAUCCAAUCCUAUCUUUCCCUAUCCUAUCCUUUCUUAUCAUAUCCUAUCAUAUCAUAUCCUGUCCUACCCUAUCAUGUCCUGUCCUACCCUAUCCUAUCCUAUCCUAUCAAAACCUAUCCUAUUUUAUCCUAUCAUCUCCUAUCCUAUUGUAUCAUAUCCUGUCCUACCCUAUCCUAUCCUAUCAUAUGCUAUCAUAAUCUAUCCUAUCUUAUCAUAUCAUGUCCUCUCCUACCCUAUCAUAUCCUAUCCUAUCUUGUCCUCUCAUAUUCGAUCAUAUCCUAUCCUAUCCUAUCCUAUGUUAUCCUAUGCUAUCCUAUCCUCUCCUCUCCUAUCCUAUCCUAUCCUAUCCUAUCCUAUCAUUUCAUAUCCUAUCCGAUCCUAUCCUAUCCAACCAUAUCCUAUCCUAUCCUAUCGUACCCUAUCCUACCCUAUCCUAUCCUACCCUAUCAUAUCCUAUCCUAUCCUAUCCUAUCCUAUCCGAUCCUAUCCUAUCCUAUCCUAUCCUAUCCUAUCCUAUCCUAUCCUAUCGUAUCCUACCCUAUCUUAUCCUAUCCUAUCUUAUCCUAUCCUAUCCUAUUCUGUCCUAUCCUAUCCUAUCUUAUCCUAUCCUAUCCUACCAUAUCCUCUACUAUCCUAUCCUAUCCUAUCUUAUCCUAUCCUAUCCAAUCCUAUCAUAUCUUAUCCUAUCUUUCUGUAUCAUAUCCUAUCAUAUUCUAUACUAUCUUAUCUUAUCCUAUCAUGUCCUAUCUUAUCUGUCUUAUCCUAUCCAUUCACGCCAUAUCCUAUCCUAUCAUGCCAUAUCCUAUCCAUUCCUAUCCUACCCUAUCCUAUUCUAUCCAAUCCUAUCCUAUCCUAUCCGAUCCUAUCCUAUCCAACCAUAUCCUAUCUUAUCCUAUCCUAUCUUAUCCUAUCCUAUCUUAUCCUCUCCUAUCCUAUCCUAUCUUAUCCUAUCCUAUCCUAUCAUAUCCUCUCCUAUCCUAUCCUAUCCUAUCUUAUCCUAUCCUAUCCAAUCCUAUCAUAUCUUAUCCUAUCUUUCUGUAUCAUAUCCUAUCAUAUUCUAUACUAUCUUAUCUUAUCCUAUCCUGUCCUAUCUUAUCUAUCAUAUCCUAGCCUAUCCUAUCCUAUCCUAUCCUAUCCCAUCAUAUCCUAUCCUAUCCUAUCCUAUCCUAUCCUAUCCUAUCCUAUCCUAUCCUAUCCUAUCCUAUCCUAUCCUAAACUAUCCUAAACUAUCCUAUCCUCUUCAAUCCUAUCCUACCCUAUCCUACCAUAACCUAUCCUUUCCUAUCCUAUCCAAUUCUAUCCUAUCCUAUUCUAUCCUAUCAUAUCCUAUCCUAUCCUAUUAUAUCCAAUCCUAUCAUAUCCAAUCAUUUCCAAUCCUAUCAUAUCCUAUCUAUCCUAUCCUAUCCUAUCCUAUCCUAUCCUAUCCUAUCCUAUCAUAUCCUAUCCUAUCCUAUCCUAUCAUAUCUUUUCAUAUCCUAUCCUCUCCUAUCCUAUCCUUUGUUAUCCUAUCAUAUCCUAUCCUAUCCUAUCCUAUCAUAUCCCAUCCUAUCCUAUCCUAUCGUACCCUAUCCUGUCCUAUCAAAUCCUAUCCUAUGCAAUCCUAUCCUAUUUGAUUCUAUCAUAUUGUAUCCUAUACUAUCCUAUCCUAUCAUAUACUAUACUAUCCUAUCUUAUCCUACCCUACCCUACCCUACCCUACCCUACCCUACCCGAUCCUUUCCUUUCUAUCCUAUCCUAUCUUAUCCUAUCCUAUCCUAUCCUAUCAUAUCCUAACCUAUCCUAUCCUAUCCUAACAUAUCCUAUCCUCUCUUAUCUUAUCAUAUCCUAUCCUAUCCUAUCAUGUCCUAUUCUAUCCUAUCCUAUCCUAUCUUAUCCUAUCCUCUCCUAUCCUCAUAUCAUAUCAUAUCAUAUCAUAUCAUAUCAUAUCAUAUCAUAUCAUAUCAUAUCAUAUCAUAUCAUAUCAUAUCAUAUCAUAUCAUAUCAUAUCAUAUCAUAUCAUAUCAUAUCAUAUCAUAUCAUAUCAUAUCAUAUCAUAUCAUAUCAUAUCAUAUCAUAUCAUAUCAUAUCAUAUCAUAUCAUAUCAUAUCAUAUCAUAUCAUAUCAUAUCAUAUCAUAUCAUAUCAUAUCAUAUCAUAUCAUAUCAUAUCAUAUCAUAUCAUAUCAUAUCAUAUCAUAUCAUAUCAUAUCAUAUCAUAUCAUAUCAUAUCAUAUCAUAUCAUAUCAUAUCAUAUCAUAUCAUAUCAUAUCAUAUCAUAUCAUAUCAUAUCAUAUCAUAUCAUAUCAUAUCAUAUCAUAUCAUAUCAUAUCAUAUCAUAUCAUAUCAUAUCAUAUCAUAUCAUAUCAUAUCAUAUCAUAUCAUAUCAUAUCAUAUCAUAUCAUAUCAUAUCAUAUCAUAUCAUAUCAUAUCAUAUCAUAUCAUAUCAUAUCAUAUCAUAUCAUAUCAUAUCAUAUCAUAUCAUAUCAUAUCAUAUCAUAUCGUAUCGUAUCGUAUCGUAUCGUAUCGUAUCGUAUCGUAUCGUAUCGUAUCGUAUCGUAUCAUAUCAUAUCAUAUCAUAUCAUAUCAUAUCGUAUCGUAUCGUAUCGUAUCGUAUCGUAUCGUAUAGUAUCGUAUCAUAUCAUAUCAUAUCGUAUCAUAUCAUAUCCUAUCAUAUCAUAUCAUAUCAUAUCAUAUCAUAUCAUAUCAUAUCAUAUCAUAUCAUAUCAUAUCAUAUCAUAUCAUAUCAUAUCAUAUCAUAUCAUAUCAUAUCAUAUCAUAUCAUAUCAUAUCAUAUCAUAUCAUAUCAUAUCAUAUCAUAUCAUAUCAUAUCAUAUCAUAUCAUAUCAUAUCAUAUCAUAUCAUAUCAUAUCAUAUCAUAUCAUAUCAUAUCAUAUCAUAUCAUAUCAUAUCAUAUCAUAUCAUAUCAUAUCAUAUCAUAUCAUAUCAUAUCAUAUCAUAUCAUCUCAUAUCAUACCAUACCAUACCAUUCAAUACCAUACCAUAUCAUGUCAUAUCAUAUCAUAUCAUAUCAUAUCAUAUCAUAUCAUAUCAUAUCAUAUCAUAUCAUAUCAUAUCAUAUCAUAUCAUAUCAUAUCAUAUCAUAUCAUAUCAUAUCAUAUCAUAUCAUAUCAUAUCAUAUCAUAUCCUAUCAUAUCUAAUCCUAUCCUAUCCUAUAAUAUCCAAUCCUAUUAUAUCCUAUCCUAUCCUAUCUUAUCCUAUCCUAUCCUAUCAUAUACUAUCCUACCCUACCCUACCCUAUCCUUUCCAUUCCUCUCCCAUCCUUUCCUAUCCUAUCCUAUCUUAUCCUAUCCUAUCCUAUCUUAUCCUAUCCUAUCCUAUCUUAUCCUAUCCUAUCCUAUCUUAUCCUAUCCUAUCCUAUCUUAUCCUAUCCUAUCCUAUCUUAUCCUAUCCUAUCCUAUCUUAUCCUAUCCUAUCCUAUCUUAUCCUAUCCUAUCCUAUCUUAUCCUAUCCUAUCCUAUCUUAUCCUAUCCUAUCCUAUCUUAUCCUAUCCUAUCCUAUCUUAUCCUUUUCUAUCCUAUCCUACCCUUUCCUAUCCUGUCCUAUCAUAUAUAAUCCUAUCUUUCCGUAUCAUAUCCUAUCAUAUUCUAUCCUAUCCUAUCAUAUCUUAUCCUAUACUAUCCUAUCCUAUCAUAUCCUAUCUUAUCCUAUCAUGUCCUAUCCUAUCCUAUGCUUUCCUAUACUAUCCUAUCCUAUCCUAUCCUAUCCUAUCCUAUCCUAUCCUAUCCUAUCCUAACCUAUCUUAUCCUAUCCUUUCGAAUACUAUCCUAUCCUAUCCUAUUAUAUCCCAUCCUAUUCUAUCCUAUCAUAUCCAAUCCUAUCCUAUCCUAUCCUAUCCUAUCCUAUCCUAUCCUAUCCUAUCCUAUCCUAUCCUAUCCUAUCCNNNNNNNNNNNNNNNNNNNNNNNNNNNNNNNNNNNNNNNNNNNNNNNNNNNNNNNNNNNNNNNNNNNNNNNNNNNNNNNNNNNNNNNNNNNNNNNNNNNNCUAUCCUAUCCUAUCCUAUCCUAUCCUAUCCUAUCCUAUCCUAUCCUAUCGUAUCCUAUCCUAUCGUAUCCUAUCCUAUCCUAUCCUAUCCUAUCCUAUCCUAUCCCAUCCUAUCCUAUCAUAUUCUUUCCUAUACUAUCUUAGGCUAUCCGAUCGUAUCCAAUCAUGUCCUAUCCUAUCCUAUCCUAUCCAAUCUUAUCCUAUCUUAUCCUAUCACAUCCUAUCCUAUGGUAUGCUAUCCUAUCCUAUGCUAUCCUAUCCUACCCUAUCCUAUCCUAUCCUAUCCUAUCCUAUCCUAUCCUAUCCUAUCCUAUCCUAUCCUAUCCUAUCCUAUCCUAUCAUAUCCUAUCCUAUCCUUUCCUCUCCUAUCCUAUCCUAUCCUAUCCUACCCCAUCCUUACUAAUCCAAGCAUAUCCUAUCCUAUCCUAUACUAUACAACUGUAUCCUAACCUAUCCUACAAUACCGUAUCCUAUCCUAUCCUAUCAUAUCCUAUCCAAUCCUAUGAUAUCCUACCCUAUCCUAUCCUAACUUAUCAUAUCUUAUACUAUCAUAUCCUAUACUAUACUAUCCUAUCCUAUCCUCUCCGAUCCGAUGCUAUGCCACCCUAUCCUAUCCUAUCCUAUCCUAUCCUAUCCUAUCCUAUCCUAUCCUAUCCUAUCCUAUCCUAUCCUAUCCUAUCCUAUCCUAUCCUUUCCUAUCUUAUCCUAUCCUUUCCUAUCCUAUCCUUUCCCAUCCUACCCUAUCCUAUCCUAUCCUAUCCUAUCAAAUCCUAUCCUAUCCAAUCCUAUCCUAUCAUAUACUAAAGUAUCCUAUCCUAUCCUAUCCUAUCCUACCCUACCCUAUCCUUCUAGCCUAUUCAAUCCUAUCAUGUCAUAUCCUAUCCAUUCCUAUCCUAUCCUAUCCUAUUCUAUCCUAUCAUGUCCUUUCCUGUCCUAUCAUAUCCUAUCCUAUCCUAUCCUAUCCUAUCCUAUCAUAUCCCGUCCUAUCCUAUCCUAUUGUACCCUAUCCUAUCCUAUCAAAUCGUAUCCUAUGCAAUCCUAUCCUAUCAAUAUCAUAUCAUAUCAUAUCAUAUCAUAUCAUAUCAUAUCAUAUCAUAUCAUAUCAUAUCAUAUCAUAUCAUAUCAUAUCAUAUCAUAUCAUAUCAUAUCAUAUCAUAUCAUAUCAUAUCAUAUCAUAUCAUAUCAUAUCAUAUCAUAUCAUAUCAUAUCAUAUCAUAUCAUAUCAUAUCAUAUCAUAUCAUAUCAUAUCAUAUCAUAUCAUAUCAUAUCAUAUCAUAUCAUAUCAUAUCAUAUCAUAUCAUAUCAUAUCAUAUACUAUCAUAUCGUAUACUAUCAUAUCAUAUCAUAUCAUAUCAUAUCAUAUCAUAACAUAUACUAUCAUAUCCUAUCAUAUCCAAACUAUAAUAUCUCAGGAAAUGAACCGAAUGGUUCACUUAAACUUAAAAAAAAACUAAAACACUACUAUAAUGUUUUACUUCAGUCUAAAAAAAGAUAGAAAAAUAUUAUUUCAAUAUAAUUAUACAUAAUUAUUAAUUAUUUAAAAUUUUAUAUUCAUAUGUAACUAUAUAUUUAUAGAUAAAAAUGAUAAAUUAUAUAUGAAAUCACCUGAUCCGACUGGACGAUUUAAUCAUUUAAACAGGUUAAACUUAAUAUAAGAAAUUUUCCGGUUUGUUGAUCGGUUUGAAUUUCACAAAUAUUGGAUGAAACUGUUGCCUUUGGAUAUUUAAUAUCAUUCGAACAUAAAUUUAAGUAAAAAAUAACUUAUUUUAAAAUCUACUCUAAAAGAAAUAUAUAUACAUAAAUAAAUAAAAAGUAACGUAACUCUUUUUGAAGUUUUUUCAGUAAAAUUUUAAUCAAAGUAUUCGGAGCUAAAAAAUCUCCAGCGAAGUUGUACGGAGGAAAAUUUCCCGUAAUAUUAGUGUUUUUAAUUAAUAAAUUGUGUAUCUUUGUCUUUUAUGGCAACUAGCAAGUUACCUGUGCAUUUACACAGGACGAUAUUUUUUACCGCAUGAUUAAUAACAUAUAUUACAUGUGCAUUUAUGAUUAAGAAUAUGUAUGUUGCUCGUGCAUUUGCAUGGUUAAAACUAUAUAUAUUACCAGUGCAUUCAUAUUGUUAAAAAUUAUUAAUUAUAUAUAAAAUCAUAUGCUCAAACCAUACGGUUUAAUUGUUUAAAUUGGAUAAACUUAAUAUGGAUCAUCUACUGGUUUAACAUCUUGCUCGACUUUUUCAACAUUGUUUUUUACACAUACAUAACAUGAUAUAGUUAGUAGUAUCAUAUUAAUCAAAAAAAUCAUCAAUAAAUUUAUAAAUUUUUAAAAUAAGAUUAGUAUAAAAAUAAAUAUUGUUUAACUCUAAAAUAGCUACAAACAAUAUGUUAUGAUUCAUAUUAUUAUUUUAAUAUUGGUAUAGUAACAUUAUAUUUUAAUAUUGCAUAGAUAAUCAUAUUCCUUUUAUUUUUAAAUAAAUCACAUGUCAUGGGGGCUUGAGAGAUUGACACAUGUCAUGAGGGAGUUCUUGAGAGAUUGACAUAUGUCAUGAGAGACCUUUAGUUUUGAUGAGAGGUUGACACAUGUCAUGAGGGUUUGAGAGAUUGACACAUGUCAUGAGAGAGUUUUUUUUAUUAUAUAGGUAAUAGACUAGUUUAAAUGCACUUUUGGUUCUUAUAUGGAUGAUUUCAAGAAAUUAAUCCUUUUUUUUUUCAAUUUUACUACAUUAAGUCCACCUCAUUUUGGUCCUUUGUUUAUUUUGAGACUAACGUUUAAAUCGUGAAAUCGAUGGGACCAAACCAAAUCAAAAGACAUAGUUUGAAUUGGUUUCAUAGUUUUGCCUGGUUUUAUUUUCAAGAAACUAUUGAAGUUUGAUUUACAAUUUUGGAAAUUUAGAAACUAUUCAAACCGGAAAUAAAUAGUAGAGAAUAAUGUUUUACUAUUAUUUGAAUUCUUCAACCAAUCUUGUAUGGGUUAUAUUGUUAUACAUAUUACAAAAUUGUUAUAUAUGUUACUACUUACUAAAUUUAUAUAUGUACUAGUGUGUACAGACACUUCGUACCUGCGGUCAAUAUUGCAUGAUAUUAUAUAUUCGAAUUUUAUAUAUAUUUUUUAUAAUUAGAAUAUAUGUGUUGUAUUCAGUGUACUUUAUAUUAUAAUUUUUGUGUGUUUAUGAUAAUGUAUAGUUUAAGGUGAGAUAUGUGGUUAAUUAAUAUUUUGGUGGUGAUUAAUUAGGAUUAUAUGAUUUUUUUUGUAAAAAUUAAAUAAUGUGAAGGGCAAAAUAGGAAGUGAAAAUUACACCAUGAUGGAAGUUACACCUUGUUUUGGCUUUAUAUAUAGUAUAGAAGUAUAGAUAUCAACCCACAUUCCUAAUUUUGGAAUUGAGUGUACAAUUUUCAUGAUAUAAAUGUUAACAUAAUAAUAUUAUUAUUUAGUUGAAUAUAUUUGAUCAGUAAUUAGUCAAUCUUAUUUUUUUAAAAUUACACAUUAACUGAAUCACUUGCAAUUAAUUCAUCUUAUUUUUGUAAAAAUUACACAUUAAUUGAAUCACUUAAGAUUAGUCUUAUAGAUAAAGUAUUUAAUUGAGAUAUAAUCAUUCAAAUAAACUUAUCAUGUUCAUAACCUAAUAUGUGAUAUUAUGAUUAAAUUAAUAUUUGUUAACUGCAUUUCUAUUUUUAAUAAUAAUUACACAAAUUAGUAGAUAUCAUCGAUUGAUUAAUGAUUUUUUAGGAUUAAAAUGAGAAACAAUUGGGAGGAAAUAUGCAAUUACAAUCACCAAUAGAUGUAGUGGGAUGGUUGUGAGAAAUAAGUAACAAAAUAGUAACAUGUGAAAGAAGACAAUGUGAUUCUUGUUAAUUUUCAAGUAACAAUUUCAAUGUAUGUUAAUUUAACUUUUAAGAAGUAAUUAAAACAAAUAAUGAAGAAAUUUUUGACCCAAUAAUAUGAAGGUAGGGAAGCAUUUAGUUGUUAUUUAUAAGGACAUAUAAUUAGAUUGUGCAUAACAUGAAAUAGAGUUGGUUACAUCAAAUAUUUGAUAAGUUCUAUAUUGAUAUACUUAUGAUUUAUGAUAAAAGUUGUUAAAAACUGGUAUUAAAUCAUUACAUUUUAUGAAAUUGGCUUUUUCAAUUUUUUUAUUAAUCUAUAAAUUAAUAUACAUUUUUAAUUAAAUUAUAAUUGUAGAAAUUAAUAGUAGUUGUUUACUAAAUUAAUAUAACUACAAUUUCUAAUAUUUAUGAAAAGAUGCACACAUAUUAAUGAUUUUUUUAUUAAACUUGGUGAAGAAAUUGUGCCACUAACAUUAAUUGUAGCAAAGUAUGCACUACUAAUAAUGUAUGUGCCUUACAUUGUAGAAUCCUUGGGUGAAAAGUAUUUGUUGCAUUAAGUUUUCUUAUUUAUUUGUGCUUUACCUACACUGGUUUUUAGUUUACCGCCACUACAAAAAAAUUAUCCGAUUAGCCACGGUUAAAACCGUCGCUACUGUACCACAAAACCGUGGCAAAAUACAGCAGCCACGGUUACCUCUCCCCUAGCAAUUACUGGCGUUGCAAAAUUUUUGCCACGGUCCAUUUAUGUUAUAGCCACGUCUUCACCAAGUGUGGUAACAUUUCUUUAACCACAGUUUCAACCGUGGCUAAUGUAACUACACCCGUGGCUAAUGUUUACCAUUAAUUUAACCACAUUAUAACCGUGGCUAAUUAUUUAUUCAGUUAUUCACAUAUUUCUCUCCUCAUCAUCUCUAGCAAUCAUUAUAUUCCAUAAAAUAAUGAUAAAUUUGUUAAUGAAAUUAAAUAUUUACAAGCUAAAAUUGAUUCUCAAUUUACAAAAAUAUUCUUUCCUUUCACAUUUCUUUCUAUCAUAAAAAGAAAGCAAGAUAAAUAAGAUCUUCAUAUAUUAAUAAUAAAUCAAGUUUAUAGCAGUAAAGCAAGACCAGAAAUCUAAAAGGUCAUUUGACGACUAAAAUUACAUUUCUAACAAAUCCACUCGAAAUAAGAUUGUAAAUGGAAUAUGAUAAUCUUAGUGAAAUACUUGUGACUUUCAGCUAAUGUAAGGGUAGCCCUUAGUCAAAACUAAACAUAAACAGAAUCGUUUUAAAAGCACCAAAAAGAAAUUAAAGCAACAUUGCUCCAAGAGCAUAUAGUUCAAUACCAUGAUUGAUUAGAGCAUAUUGAAAUCUUAAGAUGACCAUUAGUUCCUUUAAUGACAUAAAAAGAACAUGAGUAUAUUCAGAAUAUCCCUCAUCUGCAAAAACCAAAAGACCAAAAGGUCCUAAAGCACCACGUUUUGCAGCUCCACCACUAGUACGCACUGAUACUUCACAUUGGAUUGAAACAUUUGUACUUCUUUCUAAUUUCUAUAUCAACUUCAGCAAUUCCAUCAUUUUGUAUCCUCACUAAGUUAGCUAUCAGUUCUUGCUGAGAAACAAGACAAUAAAGUGCCAUGAACAUGGAAAUAAUUUAGCAACUCUUAUGCAUACAUCACAAAUACACACCACAAUGUCAAUAACAAAUAUGUGAAGGUAAAACCAAAAGAAACAAAGGUUCUUCACAAGUAGAUAUAUAUGUUAUUAGUAGUUCACUAUGGGUAGGAAAGGGAAACAAGAUGAAGAUUCUAAAUAUCUAGCAUGUGUAAGUGAGAAACUAUGAACUAAUGAUAAUAAGGACUAAGGGGUGGUAAUAUUUACUUAAAUUACCAUAUAUUUGAAUACUACUAGUUCAAUAUAGAGCCGAGAGAUGACACCACUCUCAAUAAACAAAAUGACAAGGCUUCACCCCAACAUGAAUAUGUCCAAUAUACAAAUAGCAAUCUCCCAGAUUUGCAUCUUGGAUAUGAGGUUAAACAGAACAGGCAAACAAAUAUUAUUGUAUCAAGUUAUAAAAACGCAUGAGCACAAUUAAAAACUUCAAAUCUUUCCAAUCAAUAAUGCUCGCGUCUACCUUCUCAUGCUCUCAUAGCCUAUCCAAUAGGUCAUGCUUUAGGAACCCUCUCUUCUCUAUCAUUGAUCUAGGACCUUAAUCUCAACUCCAAUAGGUGAUGUGACUGAAUGCUCCAAAACUACAUGAACAAUAAAAACAAUAGUUCAAGGGGGACCAAGUGAUAAUUAUUAGCAUUGGGAUUGAGAGAUACAUAAUCAGACAUACAAAGGUUAGAAAUAGGAUAAAAUUGAAAAAAAAGCUGCAAAAUUGGAUAUCCAUGUACCUGUAUAAUAGCAUUGAUGAUGAGGUUGAAGAGUGAAAGAUUUAAGCAAUUGAAGAAUUUGAGUGGUUGAAGAGAUGAAUUUGGAUAAAAAAAUUGAAGAAUUAGUUGAAGAGAUGAGGCAAUACCAGCCACAAAGAGAAAAAAUAAACCGUAUAAAAGGGGAAAAAAUAAAUAGUUUAAGCUAAAUGAACACAAAGAACUAAAUAUAAAAAAACAAUAACAUUUAAAAUCAAACAAAAUAUAAAAAAAAUGAACAUGAUUAUUGGUAGCAUUUUAGUGUUGUCCUUUACACACUAAGAACUUAACAAAAUCUACACACACUAUAGAACAAGUGACUACAGUGAGAAGAUAUCUGAGACUUGCCCCAUAAGACAAGAAAAACUUGUUGAACUUCAUAGCAGUAUAUGUCUUGUAACAUGAGAUGGUAAUUAAUUAAGGUUGACUACUUAGAUAAAAAGAUAAUGAGAAAAUAGAUAAAGUGCAAUAAUAGAAGGUUCAACAAAUCUCUUUGGGAGCAAAGAUCUACACUAGGAAAAAUAAGGAACAUCCUUAGGACAAUAAUUUACUAUGACUGAAAAACUUACAACAAUUGCAAAGGACAAUACCUCUUAUCAUAUGAAAAAGAUCAAAGAUGGAGAAUUUUAAUUAGAUCAUCUAGAUUCUAAAGAUAGAAACUCGAACAAUCACAAGAGACAAAGUGUACCUGAUGCAAUUAGAAACCAAGAAGAAUCAGAAAACCAUAACAAUAUAUCUACUCUUUCCUAUUGCUCCCAUCAGGACUAAAAGAAUAUGUGUGUAAUUUGAAUUUGAGAUCCAAUUCAGAUCAAUGAUCAACAAUAGCAUUUAGCAACAACAUAAUAAAAAUCGACAAUAAUUCAGUGAGGUAAAGCACCAUUUUGUUGUUGUUAUCGAUCAAAAUAAUCACAUCUAUAUUACAUUAGAAGGAUAAUAAAGUGGUGGAUCUGAGAAGAAAGAAAGGGAAACCUGAUAGGUGUUAUCAAAUUUAUCAUACAUGAAGCGAGUGAUGAUGUUGGUUUCGCCAUCAGAUUAAUCACCUAAGAACGCAGCUAGUAUUUUGCAUUCCAAAUAAAUUUAGGUAUAAAUGGCAUGUUCCAUUUUUAGUUUUUAUGAUCACAACAUAGGCCACAUCUAGCUGUAACUUAACAAGGAAAAAGGAAAGAACACAGUUGCACUGCACCAAUUGCAAGUGUGGCGCAUACCUUUUCAUUAAUUCAAUUAGUUUGUGAUCUUUUGGCUUCAUACCCCAUUUUGUAUCAACUAGAAGGCAAACUUGUCUGUGACCAACUCUUGUGGAAACACACUCCUUAUUCUAAAAAUAAAGGUUUUCCAGAAACACAAUUUAUCAGUGCUUAAUAACAAAGCAACUCAAAAAUCACUACAUAUGUCAACAAUAAAAAGUGGAAAAUGCCAACCAUGUACAAACCCAGAGUGAAAUUAAAACAUUGAAAAGUAGCACCCAUAGCAUGAUAUAAACUUGAAGCAUUAUAAGAAACAACUUGAAUACUGUGAAAUUAAAUAUAAUUUGCACACUUACAACCUUCUCCCAAUUUUCUUUCACUCCAUCUUUAGCAUAUGCAAAUCCAUAGAUGAACAUAUGGUAGAGUUGGUGGACAAUAACAACAUAGAAGGUGUAUAUGUGUUAGGCAAAUAUUGUCUCUGCAUUCUUUAACAACUCCCCUGCUCCUUGUCUUAAAUUAGUACCAAGAACUUUAACAGCAUCUGUCUCACCUGUGGACAUUUGUGCUUUGUAAACAGGGCCAAACGCCCUAUGAUGGUUGUAAAAUUAGAAUUUGCCUUUUGUAUAUAUCUGGAAAUGGAGUCUCAAUGUUCCCAACACACAAAUACACAAAAUAUGAGCAAGUCCAUAACACCAAAUUAUUAUCCCCUCCCCUUAUUUAUUUCUUGCUAUAGAAUGGAAUAUUUACUACAUAAGAGAAGAAAACACAGAAUUUCUAAUAGGUAUAUUGGUCUCAUUUAGGUCCUAAAAAGUUCACUUCUAAAUCUUUAUAUUUUCGAAAUCCAUGGGAAUAUUGGUCUCAUUUAGGAACAAAUCUAAAACCAAGUAUUUUAGUAUUUUGAUUUUCUCACUUCACUUUUCCUUACACAUUUUUACACCUAUUUGUAAGUAUUUCAGUAUUUUGUUCUAGCUAGGAGUAUAUGUAUAUGGAUCCUUCAUAAGUCAACCACCUGAAGAUUGGUUCCUAAAAGCAUAUACAUAUAUUCUACCCUUUCUACGGUCACAUAUGUAUAAUUAUUACACAAAAUAAACAUGAUUUUAUUCUAUGAAAAUGUGCAAUGGUACUCAUACUGGCAUAUAGAAAGAGGCUUUUCCAAUUAUUGGCAACAAUAAAAUGGAACCAUUUUGGUUUAUAUGUGCAAGUUGCAUAUAAAAGCACAUGCACUCAUUAAUGUAAUUUAUAUAUAUAACAUAAAGGACAUAGUAAAUAACAACAAAUCCAAAAUCCAGAAAAUUAUUAAGUUAAAUGACAGUCUGCAUGAAGCAGUUUAUGUGUAUGUGCCUAUCUAGGUGUGUUGUUUCCUAUGAAAUGAAUUGCAUGAAGCAGUUUGAAUGUUUAAUAGUCGAAUGUUGAAAUUUGAAUUUGAAAGAGGGAGUAAAGAGUUCUUUUCAACCAUGUAGCAUUAGUGUGAUUAGAGUAUGCAGGGAAAUUGGAAGUGGUGGAAUUGUUUUUGCCUUUUAGAGUCUGUGAAGUCCUAACUUUGAACAUAAAACUGGAUUUUAAGAUUUAUAGGAUAUGCAGUUGCAGGAUUUUAAAAAAGAAAAGAUGAAUGAAUAGUAUUAAGAGAGGGAUGAAAUGAAAAUAUGGUUUUGACUAUGAAAUUCUCCUAAAAUGAGGCAGCAUGCAAGGUUAAUCAUCCAAUACCAUCUAUAAGUUAAUUCUAUUCCAUUCCUAACCUCAAAAUCUCCUUCCUAUAAACCAUUCCUAUUUCUUUUCAUUUUUAUUAAUUUCCUUCAGUUCACCUCUCUCUAUUGCAUUACUUCAUUUCACCAAAUAUGAUACUUACAUGGUAAAGUAAAACUAUAAUUUUCACUUCUAUUGUAACAUAAAACAAAAUUAAGAAAAUCAAAUAUAUAUUCAGGGUUUUAUUAUAUAUUACUAGGGAAUGAUUUUUUUCGCAUCUAAAGUAUGAAAACCAUGAAUGUUAAACUAGCGAAUCGAAAAAUAUUUCCAAGUACUCUUCUUUUUGUAUUUUGAUAAACCAACCAAACCACUUUUUAUGUCUACAGGAAGUGGUAAAAAAAUGAUCACCAACAACAACCAAGUUUUUCUCAUUAGGCAACAAAAUGACCAACACAACAAAAGUAACACAAUUCUAUUAUAUUGUGCAAAACAAUAUUUACACUCUUACCGUUCACAUUUUGCAUUAUACUUGAUCAUUUGCCUAUUCAACCAAAAAAAAACCUUAUCAUUAUCUCUGAUCACGUCGAUGGAGUCUAUUUCUGCUCCUUCUUCAUCUGUCACCAUUACAUCUUUUGCAUCAAACCCAAAUUUUUCACAUGUUGAAGAAGAUUCACACGUUAGAUAAACAUAGAGAGAGUAACAUCUAAAAUUUUGAAAAAACUCAGGUCAGAAUCAUCUACAAAAUUCCAUAAAUCAGCUCUAGUAAAAAGUAACUUACCAAAAUAAGCAAUUAUGCUUGAAUGUGCUUCCUGGAACACAAGUUGAAUAAUUUAUGGGUCAUGUUAAGGAAUGCAAUAAUAAAACAUAUAAAUGAAGUACUAGUACAUCAAUUUGCCAAAUAAUAUUUUCUUUAUCUGUUUUUUAGUAAAAUUAUAUGGUUUUAGUUAAUUUUCAAGUGAAAUGUCAACAUCCAAGACUGAACAACUGAAGCAGGAUGAGGAAUGGAGUAAUGAAACAAAAGAAAUAGUAAGACUAAGAAGGAAUCAAAAGAAAUAGUAAGACUAAGAAGGAAACAAAAGAGUUUCUAAAGUCAAUUUAUGGAUGCAUUGUUUAAAGCAAUACCUUCAAGUUGUAGCUAGAACACCAAAGUGUAUAACAUAUGAAAAUAUGAACGUUUCUCCUUUAGAAGCAAAAAAGCUAUAGUUCUGUAUUCUCGUUAUAUAUACUGAUACUAAUAUUAUAUCCAACCUUCAUUUAUGUGAUAUCUAACCUUCUUCAUGUGAGAUUUGCAUGAACCUUCCUUGUGGUACCGGUCCAGUCAGCUUUAGAGUUCUUAUUUAUGAAGGUUGUUCGUCAAUUCAAAAAGGCAUCCUCCUCAACUUUUACAAGAACACAUCCAUUCGAUUAUACAUAUUUAGAAAGAAAAUUGUAAACAUGGACUAAUAAAAAACUCAUAGGUUAGGGAUUUGAACAUAUUUGGGGAAAUCAAUAGCAGAUUUAGAAAAUGUGAAAUUAGAUAAUUAGGAUUAAUGAUUAUAGUAGAAGAAUCAAUUAAUUAGGUAUUUUUAUUCAGAAUUGAAGAGAAUCGAACCUUGGAAGAAGCUUCCAUUUGAUUUGGAGUUGUUGAACUCACAACAAUGAAGAAAAUUAAAUUCACGUAUUUGAACUUGCUUGAAUGAGUGAAAGAGAGUGAACGAGAGAGAAGAGAAGAGAGUGAACGAGAGAGAGAAGAUAAGAUAAGAGAGUGAACUAGAGAGAAGAAGGUGAGAAAUGGGGAAAAAUGAAAGUGAACGAGAGAGAAGAAAGUGAGAAAUGAAAAAAAGAGAGGAAAUUGAGUAUCGAUCCCACAUUGCCCUCGUUGAACAAAAGAUAAGUGUUAUAUUUGUUUGUCUGUGUAAUAUUUUAACUACAGUUACUGAAACCGUGGCUACCAUAGAGUGGCCAUUCUGCGAUUUUUUUGUAGUGGUAUUGGUUAUGUCCAUUCUUCAAAUAUUUUUAUUAAAAUUAUUAGGAUUAAAAAAAGUCUAACAUUUGUUGUCAACUGUCUUUCCCACUACAAAGAGAGAAGUAAUAACCUUAUCUUUGCUAUCGUGCCUCCAUUUGAAGGGGCGGAAGAUAUGAUUUUACUAGCUAUCAUCCUUUCAAUCCUUAUUACAUCUUUCAUCAUUUAAUAAUUUUAAAUUGCUUAAUUAAUUAAUCAUUAUAAAAUAUUAUAUUAGAUAUUAUUAUUUAUUAAUUAAAAAGUAAAUUUGAAUUAAUUAUUAUUAUAAUACAAAAUGAUUAAAUAGGAAAGAAACGAAAAUAAAAAAGGAAAAAACGACAUGCAACACAAACACAUGGUACAACCUGAAUGAUCAAGAAUUUGUGACAGAGAACGCAUAAAAUGAGAGUACACUAAAGUGACACACAGAUCCUGAGGCUACAUGAUGACCUUAGAUUUGCUAAUGGUAAGCCAAUGAUAUAGAAUAUGAUAAGGGGAAGAAAGUUAACUAGCAAAGAAAAUGAGUAUUGAUUUUAGGAUUUUUUGGUGUAUUCUAGUGUGUGUUUUCUACUAUCUCUAAAUUUCAGCCUAUAAGGGUCUACCUACAGUUGAAAAUAUGAUCUUUUAUAAAGGAAUAUUUUCGUGGAUAUGCUCUAUUUUAAAAUGGUGAUAGAAUUUGAUAUAUUUUAAAAUAGUGAUAGCAUUUGAUAUAUUUUAAAAUGGUGAUGGGAUUUGAAUAUUUAUUUUCUCUUUCUUGCUCUAGUAUGUAAAUUAAUGCGGGCAAAAUUAUGUAUUCACCAUCACUAUGCCCAAAAUAAUAGCACAAGAGGCCUCACAUAGGGCUAUAUUACUAUUAAGCAAUUAAACUACUUGAUCUAUAACAAAUAUAGCAUAUAGGCAUAUAAUACAACUACCAUUUUAUCCCAAUCACUCACAAUGGUACUACAACAUUAAACUCAAGUAAUAUUUUUUGUAUUUUCUUUCGAUAAUAAUAUAUUAUAUUAUAAACACCAUAAAAAAUGUUUGAAUAUUCUCACAUACAAAAAAUGUUAACAGUAUAAUAUCUAAUCAUUGUCAGAGUAAAGAUAUUCAUAUACAAUAUAUCAGUUUUCAUUCUUUUGUAUUACUUAUAUUUAGUGAUAAAUGUUAAUUAAAUAUGAAUUGUGAACAAUACAAUGAUAAUGAACAAAAUCUUGCAUUAUUAAUUGAAAACAUUGUUUCUCUAUUAUACUCAUUGUUGUUAUAUUAUUUAUAUUAAUCAACACAUGUCUGGUUUAAUAUAUAUAUAUAUAUAUAUAUAUAUAUAUAUAUAUAUAUAUAUAUAUAUAUAUAUAUAUAUAUAUAUAUAUAUAUAUUAGCUUCUUCCUUAAUUAUGUUAAAUAAAUCCCUGAAUCGUUUUGAUAGCAUGAGUGGCUCAGCAAAUCCCUGAAUCGUUUUGACAGCAUGAGUGCCUCAGCAAAUCCCUGAAUCGUUUUGGCAGCAUGUGUGCCUCAGCAAAUCCCUGAAUCAUUUUGGCAACACGGGUGCCUCAACAAAUCCCUGAAUCGUUUUGCCAGCAAGGGUGCCUCAGCAAAUCCCUAAAUCUUUUUGGCAACACGGGUGCCUCAGCAAAUCCCUGAAUCCUUUUGGCAGGAUGGGUGCCUCAGCAAAUCCCUGAAUCCUUUUGGCAGCAUGGGUGCCUCAACAAAUGCCUGAGUCAUAUUGGCAGCACGGGUGCCUCAGCAAAUCCCUGAAUCAGUUUGGCAGCAAGGGUGCCUCCGCAAAUCCCUGAAUCAGUUUGGCAGCAAGGGUGGCUCAGCAAAUCCCUAAAUCGUUUUGGCAGCACGGGUGCCUCAACAAAUCCCUGAUCCUUUAUGGCAACGCGGAUGCUUCAACAAAUCCUUGGUCCACCAGCGAGGCAUCGACCUGCAUUCUCAUAUCAAACCUAAGCUUUCCAAGACCCCGAACCUGAUGUGCUAUCAAACCAAUCUUUCCAGGACUCCGAGCCUGAUGUGAAUUUUCGAGUUUUGGCAGUCCCCGACCUGCGUUUUCGCUUUACCUUUUUAUUAUCUCGAGUUCCGGUAGUACCCGACCUGCGUUCUCACAUUUACCUAUUAUCUCGAUUCCUCAACUUGAUCUCACCUAACGUUGUGUAGUGAUCGUUGCUUUCGCCUAUCUUUAGCAAAAUUGGCGUUCAUUUCUUUACUAAUUACUUACUAUGAUAUCAUACAAACCUCGGUUUGCUUGCUAUCUAGUAAGUAAUAAGUAAAGAGGGGCAGCUGUGAACACUCAAUUUUGUCCUAUCCGAUAUCUCUCUUGUGAUGUGAGGUAAUUCGUAAUGCAAUGGUACAUUUAGACUGAUUGAUGUUACUCUUUCAAUUUAAACCUUCACACGGUGGAUAAAUCAUAAAGAUUUUUGAGAUUCUGUUAUUGAUGGGCAUAAUGCAUUGUUUUUUAGGUUAUAAACUUAUCUUAUUCACGUCAUACAGUGCGAACCCUAAACUUCAUGAUACCUUCCUUUAUCAUUUAUGAAAAAUUCUACUCGAAACAUAAUAAUAUUGGUUGCAAACAAUCCAUAGUCAAUACAUAUACCAACUGUAAUCAUUGGAAUAGAACCACCCAAAAGUAUGUGUCAAAACCCUUUAAAGAUGUUAAAACAAUGUAGAGAAAAGCUGGAGAGUAACAAAAAGGUGUUCAUUAUUUACAUAAACUCGACCCUUUAUUACAUGAUCUUGGAUCCUUCAUGCUUCCUGAGCUUGGGCAAGAUAAAGCUUAUCCAAGUGAAACCUUGUUUAUAGCUGCAUUUACAUCAUUUUUUGUUGUUGUGCACAUUUCAUCCUUUCACACUCAAGAAUAAAAAGAUCUACACAGUUCUAAUAUGAUGCAGAGUUUUAUCAUUCUUAGUUGCUUCUCAAGCUCUUCGCUUAGUGCCAUUUUAUUUUACGCAGCACCCUGGUCCAAACUACCAUUGUCGUGACCAAUAGAAGAGAGUUUAUGCAGAGAUAACUACAAAGAGCAACCUCCUUGCUUGUUCAAUUAUACCUCACACAACUGCAUUAUCUGCAGCAAUAGUUAACAAAUUUCAUUAAAAAAAACAGAACAAGAAAAAUACUAAUCAAAAGUGAAAGAAUAUGAGACUAACACUUAGCUUACGUGGUUAGAAUCAGCCUGGCCAAAGAGUCUGAAUUAGAAUCACCCACUGCAAAAACAAAUAGAAUAUCAGAAUGGGCGAUGAAUAUAAGCAAAGUGAAGUGCAACAAUUAAUUGGACAACAUGGUAGGAUCUUCCGUCAUUGAGAAAGGAACCGAAGAGGAGUCAACACGACUCCGUGGCUGUGUUGCAUGGAGGGGAGAUCGUGUUCGCCGCUCUCCGUCACCGCACCACCCCUCUCAAAUUCCUUGCUGCCAUCGAAGAUGAGGAGGAUGAGAGGAUUUAAGAGUUUGUCCUCAUUCUUAUAAGAUUAGGGAUUCAAAUCCCUUAGCCAUCGAAGGUGAGGAGGAAGAGAGGAUUUGGGGGUUUGUCCCUAUUCUUCGAAGGUUAGGGUUGCUAAUCCUUUGGCCACGUGAAAAAUGAGAAAGAGAGUAUGAGAUUUAGGAAAAAUUUUCUUUUUUCUCCCUUUACCAUUGGCCACCACCGUAGGAUGACGAGGCUAGAGCAAGUCAGGGGAUAAACCCCAUUCUUCUAAAAUCUGCACGUGAGAUUUUUAUUUUUUAGCAUAUUAUAUUGUUGUUUUGAUUAAGAAUUAUACUUUUGCAAUAAUCACUUAUAUGUAUGUUUAUUAUUUCCCAGCCAGUGGCCUUAAUAAGUGAAGUAAGAUAAUUCUCAAGUAAUAUACUCCGUAUUAGUAAAAUAAUAAUGGUCCAUUUUUCGUCUUAUUGACCUCUAUGCAAAUAAUAUUAAUCUCAUGUAAAAAAUAAAUAUGCUUAUGUUACGGAAUAAAUAGUAUGGAACUUAUAGUGAGGUUAUGGUUAGAGUCGUCUCUAACUUCUCUGAAAAGGGGAAGAAGGUCUACCACCAACACCGUCUUUAAGCUGUUAGUUCCAUUGAAAUAAAACAAUCACAUACUAAUUGCUUCAAAAUCCACAAAAUCAAUUUCAUCAAAUCUAUCAAUACUAAACAACAUUUUCAAUUCAAUAACAAUCAACCAAACUAACCAACCAUCAAAAAGAACUAUGUAAGUCUUGAUUCCCUUAAAAUGGAUACGUAGGACCAGGGUCAAUCUUGUCAGACAUAAUAAUAAAAAACUAUUUUUUCUUCUUAAUAAAAAUGUGGUUACAAAAUGAGGACUGCAAAAGAUUGUGAGUCACUCUUGGCACACUAGAGUCAUUGGUUGCCCUAUGUACAUCCUUGCUCAGAAGCUCACAAUCCUCAAGCAUGAGCUCAAAUACUGGAACAAAACUGUCUUUGGAAACAUUCAUCACAAGGUUAUUUUGGCUAAAACAAUGUUGAGCACAUUCAAAACUGCAUAAGGGACUCUGAUCCUUCUACUCACCUUUAUCAUCAAGAGGACCUGACUCAAUCUGAACUUCUUAAAGCUUUGAUCAUUGAAGAGAUAUUCUGGAAGGAAAAGGCUAGAAUUAACUAGCACAACUAUGGGGACAGAAACAUUGCCUACUUUCAUAAAAUGGCUAAGAUCAAGCAUGUUACAAAAGCCAUGUCUUUGAUUAAGUCUGGAGAUGUGCUGCUCACUGAUCAUGAUGCUAUAGGCUCUCAUGUUCUUGAUUAUUACACUAACCUCUUUGCCUCUCCUAAUUUUGUGACCUCUAACAAUUUGAUUCAGGAGGUUAUCCCUUCUCUUGUUAAUGAGGCUGACAACCUGAUGAUUUCCUCUAUUCCUACUGAUGUGGAAAUAAAGAGUGUUGUUUUUGACAUGAAUGAGGAUAGUGCCCCUGGUCCUGAUGGCUAUAGGGGGUCUUUUUACACCAAUUUUUGGGACAUAAUCAGUAUGGAUGUUUGCAAGUCAGUGAGGCAAUUCUUCCAACAAAACUGGUUGAUGCCUAACUUGAAUUCCAGCAAUGUGAUCCUCAUUCCUAAGAUGCAGGGUGCUGAGAGAAUUGAGGACUUCAUGCCAAUUGCUCUGGCCAAUUUUCAAUUCAAAAUCAUCACCAAAGUUUUAGCUUCUAGACUUUCUGUUGUGGCUCCUAAGAUCAUCUCUUCCUCUCAAAGAGGUUUUAUCAAAGGCAGAAGCAUUAAAGACUGUAUUUGCAUUGCCUCUGAAGCUGUUAACAUGUUAGAUUACAAGACUUUUGGAGGCAACAUAGCUAUCAAGCUUGACAUAAAAAAGGCUUUUGACACUCUUGAGUGGAAUUUCCUCCUCCAUACUCUUAAGGCUUUUGGUUUUAACCAAACUUUCAUUAAUUGGNNNNNNNNNNNNNNNNNNNNNNNNNNNNNNNNNNNNNNNNNNNNNNNNNNNNNNNNNNNNNNNNNNNNNNNNNNNNNNNNNNNNNNNNNNNNNNNNNNNNGUCAUGUUCUUUUUGCUGAUGACAUCUUGAUCUUCUGUAAAGGUACUAAAAGGAACCUUAAUUGUCUCAAGAAGCUUGUGAUGGAUUAUGCCAUGGCUUCUGGCCAACAAAUCAAUGUCAGCAAGAGCAAAUUCUACACCAGCAUUACAAACCACAGAAGAAUUGCUUCAAUCUCAGCUACUCUUGGUUUUGUGCAAGGCACUCUCCCCUUCAUAUAUCUUGGUAUUCCUUUAUUCAAAGGAAAGCCCAAAAAGCUUCAUUUGCAGCCUAUAGCUGAUAGAAUCAUCAACAAGCUGUCUAAUUGGAAAGGUGCAUCUCUUUCCUUAAUGGGACGAGCGGAGCUUGUGAGAUCCAUCAUUCAAAGCAUGCUUGCCUUCAGCUUUCAGGUCUACAAAUGGCCUUCUAGGUUAUUAUCUCAGGUUGACAAUUGUGCCAGGAACUUCAUCUGGUCUGGUGAUAUUGGUGUCAAAAAGCUUGUGACAGUUGCUUGGCAUAGGUUUUGUUCCUACAUGGAUGAGGGUGGUCUUGGAAUUAAAUCUUUGAAGUGCUUAAACAAGGCCUAUCUGUUGAAGCUAACCUGGGAUCUCAAGACUACUAAUCUGGAAUGGGCAAUCUUCUUCAGAUUAAAGUUCAACUUCCAAGGCUAUACCACUCCUAAAUACUCUAAAUCUUCUAUCUGGCCUGGAAUUCGUGAUAAUUGGCUCCAUGCCAACCCGAACUCCAUUUGGCUAGUUGGUGAUGGCCUUAGUGUCAACUUUUGGAAAGACAGUUGGCUUGGUGAGCCUCUUGUUGACACUUUAAACAUUCCUAGGAACAUUCAUGAUAACCUUCAGGGCUCCAUUGCUAACUUCACGGUGGAUUCCAAAACUAUAAUUCCAGGUGAGUUAAAUAGGAACUUCUCUUCCCUUUCCAAUGAUAUAGCUGCUUACAAGAGACAUGAGGGUCAGGACAAAUUGAUUUGGAUGCCUUCUAUGGAUGGUUCUAUGACUUCUAGAGAUGCUUUUCAGUUUGUGCACAAAGUUGGAGACAAGCUUUCCUGGUGUAAACAUAUUUGGUCAUCUUCACUUCCUCCUUCCAAAUCAUUCAUAGUGUGGAGAUUGUUCCAUAGGAAAAUGCCAACAGAUGAUCAUCUUCAAAAAAAGAGGUUGUAUGUUAGCCUCUAAAUGCAACUUGCGCAACUGCAAUGUAGAAAUAGAAGACCACCUAUUUUUCAGCUGCUCUGCUGCCAAAGGUAUCUGGAAUUGGUUUUCUGACAAAUUCUCAAUCCAAAUCAACCAUUCAUCGAUUCACUCUAUCAUUAAGGAUUGUGUUGCUAUUAAAGGAAGCCAAUUAAGAAAGGUGAGUUUAGCUUGUGUUGUCCAUAACAUCAAUACUAUCUGGUUCUGCAAGAACCAGAAUAGAUUUGAGGACAAACUGAUAUCUUCUAGCCAAGCUCUCUCAAGAAUAAAAAGGGAGACCUCUUACUCGGGCUCUUACCCUUCUACAACAGUGGCUUCAGGAGGUCUUCAAGAGUUGCAAACUCUAAAGUUCUUCAACAUUCCUCUCAAACUUAGUAAAGCUCCUAAUUACAUUGAAGUUCUAUGGAAACCUCCUCACUGGAAUUGGAUAAAAGUCAACACGGGUGGUGCUGCUCAUGGUAAUCCUGGUCCAGCAGGUGGGGGAGGUAUUUUUCGUGAUUCUAAAGUUGGUUUCAUCUAUGCUUUUUCAAACUUUCUCAACGUGCAACAUGCUAUCUAUGCUGAACUUCACUCAAGAAUGCACGCAGUGGAUAUAGCUUUUAGAAAGGAUUGGCUAAACCUUUGGCUUGAGAGUGACUCUAUGCUGGUUCUGGAUAUUUUCAAUGGUAAUUCUAAUGGGCCUUGGAAGCUAUCCAAUGAUCGGCAAAUAUGUAAAUCCCAGAUUUCUCAAAUGAACUUGAAAUUUUCUAACAUAUUUAGAGAAGACAACACUUGUGACGACAAACUGGCUUCCUUUGGCAUCUCAUUUCACACUAACUCCAUUUGGAACUCUACUCAUACAUUCAUAAUAGAGGAGUUUGCUAGGAAUAAGCAUGAUCUCCCGAACUAUAGAUUCCGGAACUUUUAACAUGCUUAUUGCCUUUCUCUUGUAACUUUCUUCAUCUAUAUAUUUUGGUGCUCUUACACCUUGCUUAACAAAAAAAAAUUAUAAAAUUUAAUAAUAAUAAUAAAGUUAUAUAUUUUAAUGAAGGGUACUACUUAAGGCGGGCGGGUAGGGUGCUAAUACCUUCCUUACCUUGUAACCGACUCCCGAACCUGGACAUCGAAAAUCCAAAAGCCCAAGGUAAUUGGGCUUAAAAGAUUUUCCUACAUUUUUAACUAUAAAAUGUAAUAGCGACUCUAAAUAAAGUCGUGCAACCGAAAAUCGGGGCGCGACACCCAUAUCCGCUUUUGAUUGGCAUGCAUUUUUAGGGCGAUGGCUAAAAAUGUCGGUAUCCCAUUAUGCCAACACUACGUGGCACAUAUGGUGUAAAACAUUUUUGUUAAAUCAUUAUUUAUUUUAAUUAAAUUUUGAACUGAAGCUUCUCGAAGGUGUCCAUGCCAACUCUUCCUUACAUAUUUGACACAUAUUUCUGAACGUUCUACACACACAAACAUAUGACAUGCACGCUCUGAUUUUAGGACUUUUAUGUGUGUUCUAGUGUGUAUUUUCUACUACCUCUAAAUUGGAGACAAUAGAUCAAUCUAUAGUUGAAAAUAUAGGUUUUGGGAUAAGGAAUAUUUCAUUGAUAUGUUAUACUUUAAAAUGAUUAGAAUUUGGUAUAUUUUAAAGAUGUUGAUGAGAUUUAAUAUAUAUUAAAAUGUGUAUUGAAUAUUUCUUUUUUAUUUCUCUUGCUCAAGUCUAUAACUUUAUAAUAAAAAAUAUCUUUGUCAUGCCAUCUUAGACACAUGUCACUCUCUCAUUUACUUUUUUCCUCCAAAGGAGUUUCAUAUUCCUAUAAUGAACUCUCACAAAUUAUUUUCAUCUUCUACUAUCUAUGUAUGAAUUGAAAGGGUUGUUGAAAAGACUAAAAUAAACAAGUGAACAUAUAAACAGAAUUAUCUAUUAUUCAUUUUUCUAAAUCUUUGCGCAAUACUUUCAAUAUUGCGAAGUACAAAGUCAAAACGGGCCAAUAACCAAAUUUCGAAGUGAAAAAAGAAUCUUUGUAUAAAAAAAAUAAUAAAUAUUAUUAUUGAUAUUGAUAAAUAAUAUUUAUUAUUUUAAUAGACUAGAUACUCUAUAUUUGUGACAACUGUAUAAAGAAGAGACUAUUUUCGUUAUAUAAAUCUUAAAUUUUAAAAGUCAUUUCCUUUCCUCAUGUCACACAAUAAUAUGUAUGUUUGAAUUAAUAAAAACCAAAUAGGAUGAUCUAAAAUUUAAAGAAUAUAAUAAUAAUUAAAUAAUUCAAAUUAGAAAUUGAAGUUUUUCGUAUCACGAUUUGAUGAAAAUGUAAGGAAUAUAGUAUCAUGAUUUGAUUUCUCUAUUUUAAUUAAAAAAUCAAAUUUGAAAUUGAAAAAUCAUUAUUCUCUACAACUUUUAAAAAUAUUUAUUUUAAAAAAAUCACACAGUAGCAUGUUUCGGUUUCCUAUUUUCAUUAGAAAAUUCAAAUUUGAAAUUGACAUUUAUUUUUCUUAUUGCUUAAAAGGCAAACACAUGGGUAAUACAUGUGUUGUUAACAUCUGAAUGAACGAGUAACAUGUGUGUCUUAUCUAUCCGAAUGCACAAGUAAUAUGUGUAUUCUUAACAAUAUGAAUGUAUGGGUAACAUGUUUUUUUUAACUCUGAGAAUCCACGAGUCACAUGUGUGUUCUUAACAAUACGAAUGCACAUGUAACAUGUGCGUUUUUAAACAUGUGAAUGCACGACUAGCAUGUGCAUUCUUAACUAUAUGAAUGUACAUGUAAAAUGUGUGUUCUUAAUCAUGAUGCAAAAAAUAUGAGCCCGGGCAAAUGUAUGGCUAACUUGCUAUUAUGUAAAUUAAGUCGAACAAAGUUAGGCGUUCACAACUAUUAUGCACAAAAUAUCAUUUUUAAUAAUUAUCAAUUUAUCACAACUACUCACAAACGUUCAAAUAUCAUAAGCGAGUGUUUCACAUUGUGGUAACCAUAAAUAAGUUUAUGAACAUACUACACCAAAAUAG
rnacentral:lncRNA from 1 species